UAGAAUAGGUUUUAUUUGUUUAUUCUCAUUUAUUUAUUUUGAUAAAUCAACAUAAACAACAACCCAAAUGUUGAUUUACAACCUUAACUUUAAGCAAUUAAACGAUAAGUCGGCUUUACAAGUAAAUGAUUAGCCCUCGGCAACGAAAGGCCGAACUUCUCGGUCAUGUCGAGUUCAAUAGGCAACAUCCCAUCAGGCAACUCCCAAUCAAAGCAAUGGGCUAAUUGAGCUAAAAUAAGACGCAUGCUGAUUAGAGCUAACUGCAUUCCGGGACAUCCUCUACGACCGGUUCCGAACGGAAUGAGUUCGAAAUCAUGCCCUCGAAGGUCUAUCUUCCUAUCCUUGAAUCUUUCUGGAAAGAACUCUUCGGCAUUGCUCGACCAUAUCUUGGGGUUUCGCCCCAUGGACCAAGUGUUCACCAAAAGCCGCGACUUCUUAGGUAUGAAAUACCCAUUAACGGUGACAUCUUCGGUCGACUCGUGCGGGACUAACAACGGUGCCGCCGGAUGCAACCUGAAACUCUCUUUGAUGACCAUAUCCAAAUAGGCAAGUUUCGGUAGGUCCGACUCUUCUACCAUUCUAUUCCUUCCGACAACACUUUCUAGCUCUUUCUGGAGAGCAACCAUGACUCGAGGAUGCUUUAGAAGUUCUGUAAAUGUCCACUCAAUGGCCGUGGAUGUAGUGUCGAAGGAAGCUGCCACCAUGUCCACCAUUAUAGCCUUGAUGUUUUCUCUACCAAUGAUGUAGGGUUGAUCUUUAUCGUUAGGGUUUAUGGGUGUAUCCAACAACGAAACCAUCACUUGAAAGAAACUUCUAUAAGGUUUUUGGUCAUCCAUGUUAAUCCCUUGUUGGUAUUCAUCUAUCAUUUUCUCAAAAAAUUCGUGAAGGCCACUACUCACCUUCUUAAGCCUUCUUGUAUAUCCCUGCAGCGUAAAGAUAGAUAUGAUAGAAUCAGUUUUAUAUUAAUUGUAUUUUUCAUUAUAAUUAUUCUUUGUGAAAAAACCAACGAGUCAUUCAACCAAAUAUUAAGACUUCCGAGUUUCACUCUGCAUCUUAUAAGAUUACUAUAACACAAUUUAUUAUGCUUUAAAAUUGGUAUUACUAUUAGUACGAAAAAAUAAAUAAAUUAUGAAAAAGAAAAAUAGUACAUAAAAAAACAGGAUAUAAGGAGGAAAAAAAAAACGUUACCUGAAGAUCAAGUGGAGCAAGGAAAGGCACAUAAUCCGAGAGAUUGAAAACCCCAGAUAAGUGCAGGGCCUCAUCAACCAGCGGCUUAAAAUCGAUUUUAUCAUACAUGGACCGCCCGAAUAACACUUUCGACAUCAUUUCUUCAAGAACCUUAGCCACCGCCUGGCUAAGGUUUAUUGUUUCACCCGCCGCCGCUACCUUCCUCACUGAUUCAACCAAUAACCCCACCUCCGCCUUCCUUAUCGGGGCAAAACAUUCAACUUUGGAAGCACUGAGGAAAUGCAAAAUACACCAUUUCCGUACAGUUCGCCAGUAAGAACCGUACUGGGUAAAAGCCACGGCCUUGCCACCAUAUGCGAAGUAUUUCGCGGAUUGGACUUUAGGCCUGGAAGCAAAAACGACGUCAUGGACCUUGAGGAACAGUUCAGCGGCUUCGGGUGAUGAUACCACGAUGGUUGGUACUUUGCCUAGCAUUAUCGACAUGAUGGGUCCAUAUUUUUUGGCGAGAUAGUGAAGACUUUGGUGUGGGAGGUUCCCUAGCAUGUGGAUGUUACCUAUGAUGGGAAGAGGGGCAGGACCGGGUGGAAGUUUCCGGCCAUUUUUGUUGCGGUUUGGUGAGCUGAAGAAGUAGAUAAAGGAACAGAGAGUUCCAAGGAGGACAAAGAGUAAGGUUAAUGUUGAAGAAGACAUUUGGGAGGGAAGCCAAUCACAAUAGCUGAUAGCCAUUGGGGAUUGAUUGAUUGAUUGAGUACUUGUAGAUGGAAGCAACCGAUGGCAGCUGCAAGUCGGGAGAAUUCGCCAAAUAUGUCGAUUUUAACAAAAACUACGGAGUUCGACUUUUUUUUUUUUUUUAAAUGUAAGGAAAUAAGUUGAUUUUGGCUCAUACAUGGGUAAAAGCUUUGCGGGCUUAAUUUGCCAGUUGAAUUACUUAGCGUGGUAAGAAAAUAUUAUUAUAAUUUUGAUUUUAAUUAAUAUUAUUUUUAAGUUUUUAAUGUUAUUAUAUUUUUUUUAUUUUUUAUGUUUAUAUAAUCAAGAAGAUCAAAUUAUUGAAAUUUAUAUACACACAAUUUAAGUGCAAGAGCACCACGUGUUAUUGAACAAUGCUUGAAAGAGGUGAGAUUCUUACACGUGUCUCAUAUGCUCAACGAGACUAAAUUGGAGUCUGCACUUGUCAGUGCUUUGCUGGAGAGAUGGAGAUCCGAAACACAUACAUUCCAUCUAUCAUGCAGUGAGUGUACGAUUACAUUUAAGGAUGUAUCAUUACAACUCGGUCUGCCAAUUGAUGAGGCUGUCAUUACAGGAGUGGUGCACAUUGGGGAUUGGAGGCCAAUUUGCCACCAGCUAUUAGGCAAGGUGUCAAACAAGUUUAGUGGUAAUCAAAUAUAUAUGAAAUGGUUAGAAGAUAAUUUCUCACAUCACAAAACUCUUCUAGUGCAGUUGAAAGACAACAAUUAACUCGGGCAUUAAUUUAUACCUUCUAAUGCCAUAUAAAUCUCAAAAUUUGAUACAUUUAAGGGGACUCUUAUAACUAAUCGACCUAAAAGAAACUGGGCAACUCAGUUGGAGAUCAAUUGUCUUGGUUACAUUGUAUCGAAAGUUGUGUUGGACAAUAGAAGCACAAAAAUUAAAAUCGUUGGUUGUAUAUUCCUUCAAUCAUGGGUAUAGUAUCGUUUACCAUUUUUACAUCCCGAGGAAACUCCCAUUAUCAAUUAUUACUCGUAAUAAGGUAACAUUCAUUUAAUAAUAUAGUUAUCAUAUUAUCUUUUUUCAUUAUUAUAUUUUUGGAAUAACAUAUUAUUUGAACAGAUAGAAAAAUAACGCGAGUCCUGUGGGUAUACCAAAUAAACUUGAAGAUAUUUGGUUAUUGUUAAAUCAAUGGUUAAUAGUCGAGGUCAGUUUUUGAAUUUUUUUUAAUUACAUAAUAAUUAUUUAAGGAUUUGAAAUUUAAUAUUAGGUGUGUAUGAAAUUUAUAAUUUCAUAUUAUAAUUUAAAUGGAUGUCAUACUCUGAUCCGAGAAUUGAAGAAUGCAUCCCGUCUAAAUUUUUGACGAAUCAUAAUAUCUUACAUGUCAAAGUGUCAUUAAUAGUUUUUGCAUUGUCUAUUUUUAAUAAAUAUAUUUGAGGUAAAGUUUUUUUUUUAUAUAUUCUAUUUGAACUUUUUUAUAUUUAAAAAAAAUAUACAUACUUUUCAUAUAUAUUUUUUAAGAACUAGGACCAAAUUAAUAGAAUAUAUAAACAUUGAUGGUUUAAUUUGUUACUAUAUCAAUUAAAAUUAUGUACAAUUGAUGGAAAAUAUUAUUUUUGAUGAUUAAUUGUCCUUAGUUGCUCACUUUUAAAAUGAACAAUGAUUAAAUAGCUUUGUUGUUUUCAGUAGGACCAAUUUGCUUAAUAUCAAAAUUGAGAGAAACUAAAAAAAAUUUACCUAAAUCUGCUCGUCUAUAUGGGAAGGCUUUCCUUCUUUUAGCUACAAUUGUAUUUAUUAAUUCAUAGAUUUGUCCGGAUAACAAAAAAGUGAUAAUCAAUUAUAAUGAGACAAUGGCUAUUAUUUGCAGAGACCACUGGAUCAAUCACAAAUGCCGACACCUAAAAUCAUAUAGUUAUUUUGGAUAAAUCUAACGUGAUGUAAAGUAUAUAUAUUUAUAAAAAAUUAUAAAUUAUAAUAUCGUAUAAUAAAAUAAUAUAUGAAUUUUAAUUGUAUUGGGUAACAUGUAUUUGUUUUCAACAUACCAUAAUUCUGGGAAGGAAAAUGUGGAUACAGGUAUAAGUUGGACAAGAAGUUAUAAGUGGUUGAACACGGUAUGAUUGCAUGAUGUGAGGGUGACAACUAACUAGUGGACAUGUCCAAGUAGAGGAUGGAUUAAACUUAAUACAGAUAGAGUUGUAUCCAGAAAUAACUCAUUUGCGGGCAUUGGGGGAGUGUUUAGAGGUGCCAACAGCAAGUGGUUAGGUGGUUUGUCGAUGAAGUUAGGAAAGGAUUCAAUUUUCAAGAUUGAGGCGAGAGCCUUACUUAAAGGCCUACUUAUAUCAUGGAGGAAAGGUUAUCGACAAUUGGAAGUGGCCAGACACGCAAAUAGACCCUUCCACAAAAACACGCGGAUCCUGAGGUUGGAGUGGGUCAGGUCGCGGGUUGGCCCCCCAAAACGACGCCGUUUUGGGCGUCUAGGGGCCUAAUGAAACGACGCCGUUUUGAUAACUCCAUUUAAGCCCAAAUUUUUUUUAAAACUUCAUUCCAGUCUUUGUUUUUUAAUAAACUCAAAAAAAAAACCUCUCAACUCUCUCUCAACUCCCCAAAAUUCGGUCAGCUUAGGUUGCCGGACCACCGUGGCGGCCGCCGGUCACCGGCGACGGCGCCGCCGCCCACAAUGGCCAAAAAACCAAAAAAGCCUAUUUUUUGGGGUUUUUUUGACUCCCCGACUUCGAAUAACGCCGAUUUUCAUCGGAAUUGGCACCUCUCUCACCAAAGGUACGUUUUCAAUCCUUUUCUUUUUAUUUAUUUUUUGUUUUUUCCUUCUAAAAAAUAAUAAGAACGAAAGAAAAAGAAGAAAAAAUAAGGAAAAAAAUCCCACUACCUUCGAAAAUCUAUUGAUUUUUUCUAUUCUCUUUCAUUCAUUCGUUCUUAUUAUUUUUUUUAGAAGGAAAAAACAAAAAAUAAAUAAAAAGAAAAUGAUAGAAAACGUACCUUUGGUGAGAGAGGUGCCGAUUCCGAUGAAAAUCGGCGUUAUUCAAAGUCGGGAAGUCGAAAAACCCAAAAAAUGGGUUUUUUCAAUUUUUCGGCCACCGUGGGCUGCAGCGACGGCGCUGGGGACCGGCGGCCGCCACGGUAGUCCGGCGACCUAAGCUGACCGAAUUAUGGGGAGUUGAGAGGAUUUUUUUUGAGUUUUUUUAAAAAACAAAGGCUGAAAUGAAGUUUUUUUUAAAAAUUGGGCUUAAAUGGAGUUAUCAAAACGACAUCAUUUCAUUAGGCCCCCAAACGCCCAAAACGGCGUCGUUUUGGGGGGCCAACCCAUCACCAAACCCGCUCCAACCUCAGGAUCCGCGUGUUUUUGUGGAAGGGUCUAUUUGCGCGUCUGGCCCUUCCGCCUUUUUUUAUUUACAAUUAAGUUUUUUUAUUUUUAUAAUUUUUCCCUAUAAUUUAUCUCGGCUUCCAUUUUAGUCCCUAAUUGAACUUGUUGGGCGGGGAUUAUUGCUCAUUUGGUCCAUCCUUGUUAUUCGCGCAUUCAACUUGGUCCUUUUCCUCUUUAUUUAUUUCUAAUUUUCCCCAAAUUUAUGUUUUAAGUUCGAUUUGGCCCUUUUUUGUUAUUUUGCUAUUUUACUAUUAAAUUAAUUAAUUUAAUAUUAUUAUCACUAUUAUUAUUUUUCUUUUUCUUUUUUACCUAAAUAUUUCAAAUACAUUUAUUUUAUUUUUAUCCCAUAUUUAUUUAUAUUCUAUUUUAUAAUUUUAAAACUUUAGAUCAUUAUUAUUAUUACUAUUAAUCAUCAUUAAUUUUAAUAUUUUUUUAAAAAAAAUUGUUUAUACAAUAUUUAUUUAUUUAUUUAAUAUUAGGUCUUUAACUUCAAAUUUAGUUUAUUAUUUCAUCAUUUGUCUUUUUAUUUUUAUUUAUUAUUAUCAUUUUGGCUUGUUUAUCGUAUUUUAUUUUCAUUCUUUAUAUUGGCGUUCACAUUCUACUAUGCAUAUCAACACUGUAAUUCAUUUCAUAUUUCACUACCAAUUCGUGAUAUUUCAAUCCUUCUCCGAUAUACAAACUUCAUUUUUAAUAAUACGCAAUAUUUCGUAUUUUGGAAUUCGAAAAGGUUGUUCCCUAACUUACGGGAUUUUGGUUUUUUCCGAUGAAUCCGAAUAUACGAAUCAUUUUUCAAAAACACAUUUUUUAAAUUAUCUCAGGAAUUAAUAAGACUGUGUUCUAACUUAUGGAAUAUGGUCUUUUCUAAAACCUAAAUAAUAAAAUAUCUUUCAAAUAAGUAAAUUUUUUCGACAUUUAUUCUCGUAUCGGGAAUUUAAGACAUUGUGUCCUAACUUACUGGACGUAAUUCUCUUUCUCGAUUAAAAGUGAAAUGUGCCCCCUUUUUUUGAAAUUUUUUAAUAUUUUAACAAAAGAUCGUAUUUUAAAUUCUUUUUGAGUUUUCAACUUUCGACAUUAAGACACUAAUUAAUCAACUAGGUACUAAUUUUUGGGCGUUACAAGGGUGCUAAUCAUUCAUCGUACGUAACCAACUCCCGAACCCAUCUUUCUGAAUUCCGUGGACCAAAAUUGUUGUUUUAAUAAAUCAAAUUUGUAAGAGCCCAUUUUUGCCCGGGCCCAAAAUAGAGACCCAAAAUCCAAAAUAAAACAGUCCAUUACAGUAGUGGCCCAAACCCAAAAUAAAAAUAAAACCCAAAAUAUAUAUAUAAUAGUCCAAAAUUAUAGUCUAAUGGGCCCGAACAGCCCAAACCAAAAAUCUAGGCCCGAUUGACCCACCCCUCAAACAUUUCAAAAAAAAACCCUAGCAGCCCCUACUGCCCAUGUGCGCUGCUCAGCCUCCUCGCACGCCCCCUGGCCAUCGUUGUUGCUUGCCUAUCGCCUCAUCCGCAUGCUCUGACACCUCUCUGCCAUCACCUGCAAAAGCAGACAACAAGCAAACAAACAAAUCACAAGCAAACAAAAUAGAGGAAAAUAGUUUUGUAUUUCGGCUAUAAAGCCAAAAUCAGAUGCCUGUAUUUUUUUUCCUUUUUUUACACACAUCAGUUAAUCAAAAACAGAACAAAGAUUUGAAAAGGUUGCAAAAUCUUAUCGUUUUUUAUUUCGUUUCUCUGUUUCCUUUUUUUAUUUUAUUUAUCCAUUCGUUCAUUUCUUUUACAAAUCAGUUUCAACAAAUAAUAGGGAAUAGAAAAAGGAAAAAGGAAGGAAAACUUGCCUGAAAAGCCCAUCGGUCGCGUCGUCGGAGGUCUCACCGUCGCCGAAAUCAGCCUUAAAAGGUGGGUUUGGGGGGUCUUUUCUCUCGGCCUUCGGGCUAAAGAAGUUUGGCCUUCGAAGGGAUUUGAAACAGAGGCAUGAAAAUCGCCCUUUGCGCAACGCCGGCCACGGCGGCGCUGCGGCGGUGGCCAUGGCCGAAACUCUAUGGCCGGAUGUGGGGGGAGAGUAUUUGAGAGAGUGCUGCAUUUUUUUUCCUUUGGAAAUGAAAGAGAAAGAAUUUUUUUUAAAAAAAAUGGAUUAUAUAAGUGCACGAAAUGACGUCGUUUUGCGCCAACGCACAUCGUCGUUGAAAAGACGCCGUUUGGCCUAGGGACCCGAAGACCCGACCCGCAUUCAUGGGAUCCACGUGUUUUCUGAUGUGAGGGGAUAUUUGUGCAAUAGGCCCCUCCUGCUUUGCGGCGUGUUCAAUGCGAUCCUUUUUAUUUUUAUUUUUGAUUUUGGCCACAAAGUUUGCUUCCGAUUCAAUCUGGUCCUUCAACCAUGUGCAGAUGCUACCCCCUAGAGCGACACCGUUUAAAGGACGAGGAAUAUUUCCGUUUUGGUCCUCAGCCUUCGCGCACCUUUGAUUUUGGUCCUAUUCGUUUAUUUUAUUACAGUUUUUACUUUAAAUUCUAUUUUUGUCCCAAUUUAAUCCCUAAUAUGUUUUAUUUUAACCUUAAUCGUUUUUCUUCAUAUUAUCAUUUUUAACAAUUUUCAUUUUUUAUAUAUCUUUUUUAUUUAUUCAUUUUUUAAUUUUAUAAACAUUAUUUAUAAUAAACCGUACUAUAUCAUUUUAGAUAUUAUGUGUUUUAAAUUAUUCCAUAUAUUAUUUAUGUUGAAUUGCUAUAUAUGUUAUGUUAUCUUAAACGUUUCAUAGAUGUGUAUUAUUUCGUUUACUCAUAUUUCCAUGCUAUGGUAAUCCAUUCGUAUAUCAUGUUGUUCGAAAAUCAUUUCACCAUAUUAUAAAUUGUCACCCCCAUCAACGCAACCCUUUUGUUCACGCAUUAUUUCAAACAUUACAUUUUUACCCAAACAUGCAAAAAUGAAAAUUUCAAAUAAGGCAAUAUUUUGUGUAUUGGCGAUUCUAGAAAAUUGUACCCUAACUUACGGGGUUUCGAUUUUCCUCGAUAAAUCUAAAUACAUGAAUCUUUUCAAACAAAAGUUUUUAAAUGUUCUCGAUAAUUAAAGAUCGUGUUUUAACUUACGGAAUAUGAUCUUUUCUAAAAUCGAGAUAAUUGAAUGUCUUUCAAAUAAGUAAAUUUUUCGGCAUGUAUUCUUGUAUCAGGAAUUCGAUACGUUGUGUCCUAACGCAUUGGAUAUGACAUGUUGUUUUCUCGAUAUGAGGAUUUUUCUAAAAAUAAUAAAGGCAAUAUUUUGCAUUUGGAAAUUCGAGAAAGCGUGCCCUAACGUGCUGGGUUUCGAUUUCUCGUUUGACCAAAUAGCCAAAUAUCCUCUUAAAACUUCAAAGUAUGGGUUUUUGAAACCAUAUGGUGAUCUUGGUUUCGAUGGUUUAAAGUAUUAUGUCCUAACGUGCUGGAUGUGAUAUUCCUUCAGAACAAGAGAAUCUUAAAUUUCAAUCCAUGUUAUUCGAGUUUUUUUUAAGGAUCGUAUUUUUAAAACUCUUCAAAGUUUUCAACCUUUGGCACUAAGACACUAAUUAAUCAACUAGGUACCAAUUUUGGGGGCAUCAAUGGUGCUAAUCCUUUCUCGUGUGUAACCGACUCCCGAACCCGUUUUCUGAUUUUCGUGGACCAAAAUCGAUGUUUUGAUAAAACCAAAUUGUUUAUUAAAAUAACCAUUUUUUGAGGUGGUCCGAUCACACUACAUCAAAAAAUAUUGGUGGCGACUUUCAUUUUCGUCGACCUCGUUUUAUCAAAAAAUGGUGUCAACAGCUUGGCGACUCCACUGGGAAACUUAAAAAGAGAGUCAAGCCACGUGUUGAUUACUUUUUGUCUUUUUAUCAAAAAUUAAAAACUUGGUUUAAGUGUACGAUCCUUUCAUUGCAUUACAUUCGUCUUUAUUUCGGUAUUUAUCAUUGUGGUUUAUAACUACUGUGUUAAUUCAAGUUUGGAUAUAUUUCUGCGCAUUACAUUGCAUGAUCGGUAGAUCUUACCCUUCUAAGUGGGAGUGAGAAACUACGCCUUCGUGAGGUUUUCACCUCCGCAUGGGAUAGUGAAUCGCUUUCGGGAUACAUCCGUACCUAUGUCUUCGUGAGGUUUUCAUCUCCGCAUGGCCAUAGGGAAAUGUAUUCUCCUGAACUAAACUCUAUCCAUAUGAGCCUAUAAUGGGUGAGGAUCGAGGAAUCUGCCUGUUCGGGUACCUUUACUUUAGAACCAAACCGUAUAUAGUGAGCCCUAAGAACCUAUCCUAGGUAGAACCAUGCCAAAACCUUAGUGGUCACCCGAUUAGGUGCUCUAUUUGUUUCUUUCUUACUUACUUUUGCUUUGUAAUAACCCGUUUUGUUUUGUUUCGGUUAUGAUUACAUUGCAUUUUUCAUUAAAUAGAAAAGAGGUGUUGAUUCACGUUCAAGUAUCUAAAUAGAGAGCUUGUCAUAAGAAAAUGAGUUUCUUGAUAAAAUGAAAGACAAUGCGGUCGUCCGAAUAUGGUCCGAGAAAACGUAACGAGGGAAGGGUGAUAGUCUGGUGAAUGAGUACACGACUUGCCUCGUUUCCCGAAGACUCAAGCUGACGAAGACUAUUUAAGAGCCGUUAGCGUCAACUUUCUUAAAGAAGCCAAUGAGCAUCACGAGAAUGAGUGAACAAUGAGUCGUAGCUCAGAUCAAGUAAAAAGGAGAUAGAGGAGGUACCCUUUUAAAGAGUUUUCGAGAUUCAAUCUUAACAUAUGGUUUGAAGAAAGGGGUCGAUGUCUUCGUCUAGAAAAUUAGGGCAAGGCCGUAUAUGUAAAUUUUCGUUUUAUGUAAAGAGAUUUAUUUUCUAGUAAAGUUGUUCUAAUAGAAUUGAAUUAGAAUCAACGUCUCUUUUUGCAUUCAUGCAUCAACAUUACAUUUCAUUGCAAUAAAUAAAUUUCCUAAAAUCCAAAAGUGCAUAGAGUUCAGAACUCUAGUAUAGAGCCAUAUGGAUGAUAAAGAAUUGGAUUUCUUUGAAUAUAUCGAUGGUUCGAAAGGUAAAGAUGUUUGUGCCUUUGAAGAAGAAACUAAAAAACUAUCAGGAAUUUGUUUCUACAUCCCUAGAGGUGUUCUAAACAACUGGACUGUGGAGUAAAUUCUUGUAGUUUUUAGGACCAUUUUAGAGUAAUAUUCAGAACACUCUUAUUGCUCUAAGCCUAGGAGCAAUAGAAAAUCUUUUUGUGAAAAAGGCACAUGUCCACUAUUUUUUAUUUCAACGAAAUGCAUCUUUGUGUCCUGUUUUGGCAAACAUUCUUUUGUUUUUUCCAUUUUAUUCAUACUCAUACCACACAAAUAAUUCCCCUUUGAUUCAUUUGUUCUUUGAGUCUUCUUUCGUUCCUUUAAUAGGUCUCUAGAUAUCAAUGAUAUGAGUGACACUGCUAUUGACUCAGAACCUUCUUUUGAGCAAGAUAUGUAUCCAGAGGAACCUCAGGACUUUGAAGAUGACCGAGACUAUAGCUUAUCUCUUGAUUGCUAAGGAUGAGAGAACAAGUCGAGAAACAAAUCCUACUUUACAAAGAAUCAGUAAAAAUUGUGAGCUUAGAAGAAGAGAAAGAGGUGAAGAUCGGAGCAUGUAUCACCGCAGAGACAAAGCAAGACGUCAUGUAUUCGUUUGAUCGUAUCAAGAUAUGACUGAGCUACUAAGACUUGUAGACACUGUUGAGGCUAAAAAAAAGUGUUUGAGGAACACAUGCUAAUGGUUUUGCAAUGGCCAAGCAACUUAUGAGAUACUAUUGGUCCACCAUGGAAGGAGAUUGCAUCAGUUAUACCAAGCAAUGCAUAAGUGCCAAAUUUAUAGAGAAAAGAUUCAUGUGCCUCAUUCAUCUCUUCUUGUUAUAACUUUUCGAUGGGCUUUCUCUAUGAGGGCCAUGAUGUCAUUGGGCUGACCUCGCCAAAAGCUUUUAGCAGUCAUCGAUUUAUCUUUGUGGUCGUCGAUUACUUAAUCAAGUGGGUAGAGGUUGUUUCAUAUGCCAAUAUCACAAAGUUAACAGUCAUCAAAUUUUUGAAAAAAGAAAUCAUAUGUCGGUAUGAAAUGCCAAAAAAGGAUCAUAUCUGACAAUGCACUGAAUUUGAACAACGGCAUAGUAUCAAAAGUUUGUAUUCUGUUCAAGAUUAAAUGAGUUAUCGCCCCAAAGUAAACGAUGCAGUGGAGGCAAAAAAAAGAAAAGAAAAAAUCCCUUUACUGGGGCAACUCAUUUCUUAUUGGUAUAUGAAACAGAGGUAGUUUUACCCAUUGAAGUUGAUAUUCCUUCCCUUCGAGUCUUGUUAGAGCUGAAGUUGGAUGAAGCUGAAUAGAUCCAAUCCCGAUAUAAUCAGAUAAAUUUGAUUGAUAAGAAAAGGUUGACAGCUAUCUGUCAUGGUAAAACGUACCAAAAGCGAAUGAUACGAGCUCACCAAAUAAGGUUCGCCCUAGAGAAUUCCAUGAGGGGGACCUGAUAUCGAAGAAGAUCCUUCCCAUACAAAAUAACUUCUAAAGAAAGUGGAUGCCAAACUAGAAAGGACCUUAUGUGGAAGGUCUUAUCUGAAAAAGCGUCGAUAUUGACCAAGAUGGACGGCAAGAACCUGCCUAGUCCUGUGAAUUCUGAUUCAAGCAAUAAAUACUUCACUUGAAAAAGAAACGAAAAAAAUAAAAGAAAAAAAAAUAAAAAUAAAAAUAAAAAAUAGAGGCCAAGGCAAAAACCCGCAAAGGGCGCUUGAGAUCAAAGGGGUUUUGAAUUGAAAGCCCAGAAAAGGGCAAUUCAAAAUUUUUAUCAAAGGUGGGGCAUGUGGUAAUCUUGUCAUCUCUGAAUUAGCAAGAAGAGGAGAUGCUACAUCUUGGGGCAUUAACAAAGUCUUCUAGGACCUCUAAACACAUAUCAAGUUCAAAAGGGUCCUCAAGAAGUUUGUGCAGAGAAGCUCAUGCUGCGAUAUCUAGGGCACCUGUUUGCAUCUCAAUUUGUCUAAAGCAAACACAACAGCUAAUAAUUUUUUCUCAGUGGUUGUGUAAUUGCUUUGGGCAUCAUCCAAAGUCUUCGAAGCAUAAUAGAUAACAUGAGGCUCUUUCCCUAUUCUUUGGCCAAGAAUAGCUCCCACACUUUGGUCACUUGCAUCACACUUGAUUUCGAAUGAGAAGUUCUAAUUUGGUGGUUGCACUAUGGGAGCGGAAACCAAUUUCAGCAAGUCAAAUGCGUCUUUACAAGUUUGGUCAAAUUCAAAUUCUUUAUCCUUUUGUAUUAGAUUGCAAAUCGGUUGCACGAUCUUCGAAAAGUCUUUUAUGAAUCGUCUAUAAAAUCCUGCAUGGCCAAGAAACGAACGUACUCCCCUCACAGAUGUAGGGUAAGGUAAUGAGUCAAUAAUAUCCGUUUUUGCUUUAUCGACCUCAAUACCUUCUGAGGAAACUAUAUGACCCAAAAUUAAUCCUUUGUCAACCAUGAAGUGGCAUUUUUCAUAAUUUAAAACAAGAUUAAAUUCUAGGCAUCUUUGUAAUAUCUUAGCAAGAUUAUAGAGACAUUCGUUAAAAGAGUUACCGUACACCGUGAAGUCAUCCAUGAAGACUUCAAUGAUUUUCUUGACAUAAUCGAAGAAUAUACUUACCAUACAUCUCUGGAAAGUGGCCAGAGCAUUACAGAGUCCAAACGGCAUUCAUCUAUACGUAAACGUUCCAAAGGGGCACGUGAAAGUUGUUUUGUUUUGAUCCUCUAGAGCCACCAGAAUUUGGAAAAAUCCUGCGUACCCAUCGAGACAACAAUAAUGGGUCUUACCAACUAAUCGCUCAAGCAUUUGAUCGAUGAAGGGAAGUGGAAAAUGGUUUUUCUGAGUAGCUGCAUUCAACUUCCUGUAAUCGAUGCAAACCCUCCAUGCAUUCUGGACUCGGGUAGGGACUAGCUCUCCUGAUGAGUUUUUCACCACUGCCACGCCAGUUUUCUUGGGCACGACAUGAACCGGGCUAACCCAAACACUAUCGGAGAUCGAGUAUAUCAUUCCAGUAUCCAACAAUUUCUGAAUCUCCUUAUUUACUUCCUCUAUCAUGGGUGGAUUAAGGCACCUUUGAGCAUCUCUCUUUGGUUUCGUGUUAUCUUCGAUGGAAAUUUUGUGCAUACAAGUGGAUGGACUUAACCCUUUUAUGUCUGCUAUUGUCCAACCAAUAGCUUCCUUAUAAUUCCUCAGAACUCGAACUAGACUUUCCUCCUUGUCUUUGAUUAGUUUGUUUAACACUAUCACUGGUAAAGUGUCUUUCUCUCCCAAAAAGACGUACUUGAGGUGGUCCGGUAAUGCUUUAAGCUCCAAGGUUGGUGGCUGCAAAACCGAAGGCAACAUUUUAGUUUGGAAAGGUAAUAGUUCAAAUUGGUUACCUCGAUUCAUCAACGAUGGUUGCGUCUCCAAGUGUUUGACAAUUUCUCACAACGGAUCUCCUAUAAUUGAUAAUUCCUUGAGACGACUUAAAACAUCCAUGUCAAUGCUUCUGUAAAGGACAGUUUCCAACUCAUCAUGGUCAUGAUAUUCAAAAUAAGAUUAAGUUAAACAAUCUAUAAUAUUGAUACUAGAAAUACUUAAUAGUGAGUUAGGAUGACCCAUAGCUUUGUAGACAUUGAAUUUCACGAUCUCACCGUCAAACUCCAUUGUCAGUGUUCCGCACCGAACGUCAAUUUUUGUGCUUGCGGUACUUAGGAACGGUUUUCCAAGCAAAAUGUCAGAUGAAUUAGUUGAGUUAUCGUCCUCCAUAUUAAUAAUGUAGAAAUCUGAAGGGAAAACUAAUUCAUUAACUUUAACAAUGACGUCUUCAAGCAACCCUUUGGGAAAGACGACUGACCUGUUCGCCAACUGAAUUAUUACUCCUGUCUCUUUUAAAAGACCCGUGUUAAUCAACUUAUAAAUAGGAUAAGGCAUAAUAUUAAUGGAAGCCCCUAAAUCACACAUGGAUUUCUUAAUGCCUACAUUACCUAUCUCACAGGAAAUAGCAAACAUACAUUGGUCAUUGUAUUUGGGCGGAACUUUCUUUUGCAGUAUGGCGGAGACAUUUUCUCCUACAUUUACUCUUUCGUUACCUAUUAACCUCUUCUUUAUAGUACACAAUUCCUUGAGGAAAUUUUCAAAACGAGGGAUUUGUUUGAUAGCAUCAAGCAAAGUGAUAUUUACCUCCACCUUCCUGAAUGUUUCGAGGAUUUUUUUCCUCCUUAUCUUUUUUAUCCCUUGCGAGCCUCUCUGGAAAAAGGAGGUGGCAUCACAACUAGUCUCUGAAUUUUUGAUUUCGGUCUGGCUUUUGGAUCAGAGAUCUAUUUUUCCCGUUCAUUGUCUUACCCAUGACUUUAGUCUGGAACUGUUUCCAGAACCUUUCCGCUACGAAGAGCUAUUGCACUUGUAUUCUGCCAAGGAUUCGGCUCUAUCUGGGAAGGUAAUUUACCUUGAGAUUCUAAAUAAUUAACCACCAUCGAGAGUUUACUAACUUGAUUAGUUAACUCUUGUAUUGAUGCAUCUGUCCUCUGUUAGUAUUUUACAGCAUCGACGGUAAGUCUCUCCAUAAUAGCUUCUAGAGAUAUGCUCGGCUUGGGUUGUUGUUGUGGCGGUGGCGGAGGUCUUGGUUGGUAUGAUAGAUUGUACCGGUGAUUAGCUCCAUAAUUCAAGUUUGGAUGAUCCUUCCAUCCGGGAUUGUAGGUGUUAGAGAAAGGAUCAUAGCGUCUUUGCGAAGGUCUUGAAAAACCUCCGACAGCAUCAACAUGUGCCAUUGAAUUAUCGUUAAGGAUUGGGCAUAAAUUCGUUAGAUGUUCAUAUUCCACACAGUUGGGUCAGAUUCUUCUUUUUUUGUAAGUAUAGAUUGAACAAUAUUAGUAAGCUUAUCCAAUUUAUCUUCUAAGGAUGAAACGUUUACCUCAUUAACCCGUCUUGUGGGUUCUGGAUUUGGCCGAUACUGUUGAGAAUUUACCGUCAUGGUGGAUAUCAGUUCUCUUGCCCUUUGAGGAGUCAUAUUUACAAGUGCCCCUCCACUAGUAGUGUCAAUCAUCUUCAUUUCCAUAGGAAGCAAACCCUCGUAGAAAUACUGAAGAAAUGAUUGUUCGGUCAAACUAUGUUGAGGACAACUUGCACAUAGUUUUUUGUACUGCUCCCAAUAGUCGUAGAGCGAUUCACUCUCCAUUUGGCGAAUUCCUACUAUGUCUCUCCUAAGUUCAGCUGCUCACGAUUCUAGAAAGAAUCUGUCAAGAAAUACACGAGAUAAGUCAUCCCAUGUUGUAAUAGAACCGAGGGUAAGUAAAAUAACCAUUCUCUUGUUGUAUCAACUAAAGAAAAUCGAAAGGCCCGAAGUUUAAUUUCAUCUUCAGUUACUCCCUGAGAUUUCAUGCUUGAGCAGACCAUGUGGAAUUCUCUCAAGUGAGUUUGUGGAUUUUCGUUAUUCAAGCCUCGAAAAGUGGGCAAAAGGUGAAUUAGGCCUGAUUUCAACUCAAAUGGGGUUUCUCCGGUUGGAUAGUUGAUGCAUAACGGUGUUUGCUCGUUGGGAGCAGCGACUAGUUGAUGAAUGGUUUGGUUUGCCAUCCUUUCUGGUUCACCGAGGUUAUCUUCUGCUUCUUUCGUUUCAGGAAGUGGUUUGGCCUCAGGUUUAACCACUUCGACUUACUUCCCACGUUGAAUUGCCUCUGCACGAAUUGCUUGACUCAACUUUUCGACUUCAGAUUCUAGGAUCCCUUGUCCUAGCUGAACUUCUACUUUACUUGCACGUUUAAGAGCUUCUGUCUCUUUUCAUCGUGCUCGUGCUAAUUUCUCGAUCUUUGGGUCGUAUUCGAGAUCUUCGGAUGAAGAUCAGGUCCUGAAAAUGAUUUAAACAAUUGUAAGUGUUGCCAGUCCCCGACAACGGUGCCAAAACUAAUGGCUGUCGAUUCCACCAAUAUAAACCUACGCCUAAUUUACAAUUUAAGCAGUAUAGGGAGUAGGGUCGAUCAUUCAGAAACUGGGUUUACUAAAAAUUGUUUCUCUUUCUCGACUAGAUUUUUGUCUGGGCAGUUGUCGUGCCCAAGAAAUUUGGAGGAAGGAUAAAAUUGAAAACCUGGAACCUGAAAUAAACAAGAAAAAAUGCGUGAAAAGUAAAAGCUGAAAAUAAAAUAAUAAAAAUAGUUAAAUAAAUCUGAAGAAAAAUUAAUUAAACUAAGCUCAGCUUUAGGCAUGGGUUUUUCCUCGUCUUUAAACUGAUCCUCGAAAUAAGAUGAACUCCUCUUUUCUAAUAAGCUAGUUAUAACUACCAAGGACACCUCGGACACCAACCCUUCAUUGUGUAAAUUAGUUAUGGAACGUCCAAUAACUAACCCUUACCAAUCGAACAACCAACGAAACGUUCGUGAUUUAGAACUCUGGCAGCUUGGCGUCCUAGAAGAGCCUAGCUCAAACCAAUGCCCUCAACCGCGUGGGACAUUUAAAUCCGAUUAAUACUUCCCUUGACGGAACCAAACAGCAAUCUCCACUUCACACGCCAAUGUGUUCACAGAAAACCGAUUAAACAAUCCAUCCUUUCGGAAUUCGAACUGUACGUCUAACCACACUAACUCAAACGACGUCUUUUUUGACUUAGUGUUGAUUUGACAUUGUCAGUUGACGAAAUCAUACUCUUAAUCCGAAGAAACAACAAGUACUAGAUUUUAGAAGUUAAUUUGCUUAGGUUCGUAACUCACGGAUCUUGACAAGGCUAACUCCGACCUAAAGCUGAAAAUGGAUUUAGUUGACUAAGGUUUGGGACAUGUUGGUAUUGGUCAUAAAUUAAAUAAGGUAAAAAUGGGUAAAAAGAAUGGGUGGCGUGAUUAAGUAUGAGGGCUGGAAUUUUGGUAAUGUAUUAGAGUGGGAUGGUUUGACUACUGGAAAUGAAAAGGAAGUUUGAAAAAGAAAUUGUAAAUGGUUUAAGUUGGUUACAAACUAGAAAUCAAUAAAUAAAAAGAAAAAAAACAGAAACAACGAAUAGCUUCGUGAGAAUGAAGAAGAGAUUGCAUUCAAAGAGGAAAGCUUGAUUUAUGACUUGAUGAAUAAAUGAACAAUGUAGCCCCCUAUUUAUACUAGUGGCUUUGCUAAAUUAAGAGCCACUAGCCAGAGAAAAUCAAGGAAAUAAAAUAUUCCAUGAUAUAAACAAUCCCUACAAAAUCUCCCACUAAGUCAACAAAAAUUUCAGCUAAUUAUAUUGAUUAAAUACUAAAGUUACAUAUUUUAUGUAAUUAAUUUGGUUAAUUUAUGAAAGUGCACCACUAAUUUUGCCAUAUUUAUUAAAUUUUGUGCAGGAAUGCAAUUUGGGGCUAAAUAGAAGAAAAAGGAAACAAUUGGGCUAGAUUGAAGAAAGAAGCAAAGAAGGAGAGCCAAAGAAGAAUUUUUCCAAAAUUAAUUAGCUGAAAUUUUUGAGUUAGUGGGAGAAUAUUUUGGGAUUUAUUUUAUUAUGGGAUAUUUUUCCUUAAUUUCCUAUGACUAGUUGCCUCCUAAUUUAGUAAAUCCUCUAGUAUAAAUAGAGCUUGUAUUGUUCAUCAUUUCAUCAAUCAAAAAAAUAUUAAGCUCUUGUCUUUCAAUACAUUCUCUCUUUUCUCACGUAGCAUUGUUGUUUCUUUAGUUUCCUUUCUUUCAAUUUUUUCCAGUAGCUAAUCACCAAAUCAAGCCAUUUGCAAUUUCUUUUUUUUUCAAUUCUUUUCCAAAUAGUAAACCACCCCACUUUAAUAUAUUCCAACCCCCAUACUCAAUCACAUCACCCAUCUUUUCACCCAUUUACCUUAAUUAAUUUAUCAAAUACCAACAUGUCCCAAACCUUAGCCAACUAAACCCAUUUUUAGCUUUAGGCCGAAAUUAGCCUCGUCAAAACCCGUGAGUUACGAACCCGAGCCAUUUAACUCCUAAAAUUCCAGUACUUAUUACUUCUCCGGAUUAAGAGUGUGAUUUUGUCAGCUCAUAAAGUCAGAUAAACACUAAGUCAAAAAAGACGUCGUUUUAUUUAGUGUGGUUAGACGUACAGUUGGAAUUCCGAAAGGAACGUUUCCAAUCAGUUUUCUGUGAACACAUUGGUGUGCCAAGUGGAGAUUGCUGUUUGGUUCCGUCAAGGGAAGUAGUAACCGGAUUUAAAUGUCCCACGCGGUUGAGCACAUUGGUUCGAGCUAGGCUCUUCUAGAACGCAAAGUUGCCGGAGUUCUAAAUCACGAACGUUUCGUGGUUGUUCGAUCGGUAAGGAUUAGUUAUUGGACGUUCUAUAACUAAUUUACACAAGGAAGAGUUGGUGUCCGAGGCGUCCUUGGUAGCUAUAACUAGCUUAUUAGAAAAGAGGAGUUCAUCCAAUUUCGAGGAUCGGUUCAAAGACGAGGAAAAUUCGUGUCUAAAGCUGAGCUCAUUCUAAUUAAUUUUUCUUAAUAUUUAUUUCACGGUUUUUAUUAUUCUGUUUUCAACCUUUACUUUUGACGUUAUUUUUCUGUUAAUUUCAGGUUUUCAAACUUUUAUCCCCCCGAACUUCUUAGGCACGACAGCUACCCCGACAUAAAUCUGGUCAAGCGAGCAACAAUUUACAGUAAACCAGUCUCUGAGGGAUCGACCCUACUCCCUAUACUGCAUAAUUUGCAAAUUAAGGCGUAGGUUUAUAUUGGUGGAUUCGACACCCAUCAGUUUUGGCACCGUUGCCGGGGGACUGGCAAUACUUAUAAUUGUUUAAAUUAUCUUCAUGACCAGAUCUUCAUCCGGAGAUCUCGAAUACGACCCAGAGAUCGAAAAAUCAGCACGAGCACGACGAAAAGAGACAGACGCUCUUAAAGAUGCAAGUAAAGAAGAAGUUGAGCUAGGACAAUGGCUCUUAGAAACCGACAUUGAAAAGUUGAGACUAGCAAUUCGAGUAGAGGCAAUUCGACGUGGAAAACAAGUCGAAGUGGUUGAUCCUAAAACCGAACCACUUCCUGCAACAAAAGAAGUAGAAGACAACCUCGGUGAACGAGAAAGGAUGGCGAACCGAACCAUUCGUCAACUAGCCGCUGCUCCCAACGAGCAAACACCGUUAUGCAUCAACUAUCCAAUCGGAGAAACCCCAUUCGAGUUGAAGUCAGGCCUGAUCCACCUUUUGCCCACUUUUCGAGGCUUGAAGAAUGAGAAUCCACAUACCCACUUGAGAGAAUUCCAUAUGGUCUGCUCAAGCAUGAAACCACAGGGAGUAACCGAAGAUGAAAUUAAACUUCGGGCCUUUCCUUUUUCUUUAGUUGAUACAGCAAAAGAAUGGUUAUUUUACUUACCUCCAGGUUCUAUUUCAACGUGGGAUGACUUAUCUCGUGUAUUUCUUGAUAGAUUCUUUCCAGCAUCACGAGCAGCUGAACUUAGGAGAGACAUAGUGGGAAUUCGCCAAAUGGAGAGUGAAUUGCUCUACGACUAUUGGGAGCGGUACAAAAAACUGUGUGCAAGUUGUCCUCAACACGGUUUGACCAAACAAUCACUUCUUCAAUAUUUUUACGAGGGUUUGCUCCCUAUGGAAAUGAAAAUGAUUGACGCAGCUAGUGGUGGGGCGCUCGUCAAUAUGACUCCUCAAAGGGCAAGAGAACUGAUAUCCACUAUGGCGGCAAAUUCUCAACAGUAUCGGCCAAAUUCAAAACCCACAAGACAGGUUAAUGGGGUAAACAUUUCAUCCUUAGAAGAUAAAUUGGAUAAGGUCACUAAUGUUGUUCAAUCUAUGCUUACAGAAAAGAAGAAUCGGACCCAACUGUGUGGGAUAUGUACUACGUCUGAACAUUCGACGGAUUUGUGCCUAAUCCUUAACGAAUAUUUAACGGCACAUGUCGACGCUGUCAGAGGUUUUCCAGGACCUCCACAAAAACGCUAUGAUCCUUUCUCCAACACCUACAAUCCCGGGUGGAAAGAUCAUCCCAACUUGAAUUACGGAGCUAAUCCCUGAUAUAAUCCGUCAUACCAACCGAGACCUUUGCAACCACCGCAACUGCCACUCAAGCCGAGCACAUCUCUAGAAGCUAUUGUGGAAAGACUUGCCGUCGAUGCUGUGAAAUAUCAACAGAGGAUAGAUGAAUCAAUUCAGGAGUUAACUAAUCAAGUUAGUAAACUCUCGAUGGCAGUUAAUCGUUUGGAAUCUCAAGGUAAAUUACCUUCCCAGACAGAGCCGAAUCCUCGGCAGAAUGCAAGUGCAAUAACUCUUCGUAGCGGAAAAGUUCUGGAAACAGUUCCAGACAAAAGUCAUGGGCAAGACAAUGAACGGGAAAAAUAUAUCUCUGAUCCAAAAGCCAGACCAAAAUCAGAAAUUCAGAAACCAGUUGUGGUGCCACCUUCUUUUCCAGGGAGACUCGCGAAGGAUAAGAAAGAAAAGGAGGAAAAAGAAAUCCUCGAAACGUUCAGGAAAAUGGAGGUGAAUAUCCUUUUGCUCGACGCCAUCAAACAAAUCCCUCGUUAUGCAAAAUUUCUCAAGGAAUUGUGCACUAGCAAAAGGAGGUUAAUAAGUAACGAAAGAGUAAAUGUAGGAGAAAAUGUCUCCGCGGUACUACAAAAGAAAGUUCCGCCUAAAUACAAGGACCAAGGUAUGUUUGCUAUUUCCUGUGAGAUAGGUAAUGUAGGCAUUAAGAAAGCAAUGUGUGAGUGAGGCGCUUCCAUUAAUGUUAUGCCUUAUCCUAUAUAUAAGUUGAUUAAGGCGGGUCCUUUGAAAAAGGCAGGAGUAAUAAUCCAGUUGGCAGACAGGUCAGUCAUCUAUCCCGAAGGGUUGCUUGAAGACGUCCUUGUUAAAGUUAACGAAUUAGUUUUCCCUGCAGAUUUCUACAUUAUUAAUAUGGAGGACGAUAACUCAACUAAUUCGUCUGAUAUUUUGCUUGGAAGGCCAUUCUUAAGUACCGCAAGCGCAAAAAUUAAUGUUCAGAGUGGAACAUUGACAAUGGAGUUUGAUGGCGAAAUCAUGAAAUUCAAUGUCUACGAAGCCAUGAGUCAUCCUAACUCAUUGUCAAAUAUUUCCAGUAUCGAUAAUAUAGAUUGUUUAACUUAAAAUUAUUCUGAAUAUCAUGACUUUGAUGAGUUGGAAACUGUCCUUUACAGAAGCAUUGACAUGGAUGUAUUGAGUCGUCUUGAGGAGUUAACGGUUAUAGAAGAUCCGUUGCGAGAAACUGUCAAACACUUGGAGACUCAACCAUCAUCGGCGAGUCGAGGUAACCAUCUUGAACUAUUACCUUCCCAAGUUAAAAUGUUGCCUUCGAUUUUGUAGCCACCAACCUUGGAGCUUAAAGCGUUACCAGACGACCUCAUGUAUGUCUUUUUGGGAGAGAAAGAUACCUUACCGGUAAUAGUGUCAAAUAGACUAACCAAAGACGAGGAGGAAAGUCUAGUUCGAGUUCUGAAGGAUUAUAAGGAAGCUAUUGGUUGGACAAUAGCUGACAUAAAAGGGCUAAGUCCGUCCACUUGUAUGCACAGAAUUUCCAUCGAAGAUAACACGAAACCAAAGAGAGAUGCUCAGAAGCGCCUUAAUCCACCCAUGACGGAGGUAGUAAAGAAGGAGAUCCAGAAAAUGUUGGAUGCUGGAAUGAUAUACCCGAUCUCUGACAGUGAUUGGGUUAGCCCAGUUCAUGUCGGCCCAAGAAAACUGGCGUGACAGUGGUGCAAAAUUCAUCAGGAGAGCUAGUUCCUACUCGAGUCUAGAAUGGAUGGAGGGUUUGCAUCGAUUACAGAAAGUUGAAUGCAGCUACCCAGAAGGACCAUUUCCCACUUCCCUUCAUCGAUCAAAUGCUCGAGCGAUUAGCUGGUAAGACUCAUUAUUGUUGUCUCGAUGGAUAUUCAGGAUUUUUCCAAAUUCCGGUGGCGCUUGAAUAUCAAGACAAAACAACUUUCAUGUGCCCCUUUUGAAUGUUUGCGUAUAGACGAAUACCGUUUGGACUCUGUAAUGCUCCGGCCACCUUUCAGAGAUGCAUGGUAAGCAUAUUCUCCGAUUACGUCGAGAAAAUCAUUGAAGUCUUCAUGGAUGACUUCACGGUGUACGGUAACUCUUUUAAUGAAUGUCUCGAUAAUCCUGCUAAGAUAUUACAAAGAUGCCUAGAAUUUAAUCUUAUUUUAAAUUAUGAAAAAUGCCACUUCAUGGUUGACAAAGGAUUAAUUUUAGGCCAUAUAGUUUCCUCAGAAGGUAUUGAGGUUGAUAAAGUAAAAACGGAUAUUAUUAACUCAUUACCUUACCCCACAUCUGUGAGGGAAAUUCGUUCGUUUCUUGGGCGUGCAGGAUUUUACAGACGAUUCAUAAAAGACUUCUCAAAGAUCGCGCAACCGCUUUGCAGUCUGUUACAGAAGGAUAAAGAAUUUAAAUUUGACCAGACUUGUAAAGAUGCAUUUGACGUACUGAAGCAGAAAUUGGUCUCCGCCCCUAUAGUACAACCACCAAAUUGGAACUUCCCCUUCGAAAUUAUGUGUGAUGCAAGUGAUCGAAGUGUGGGAGCUGUUCUUGGCCAAAGAAUAGGGAAAGAGCCUCAUGUUAUCUACUACGCUUCGAAAACCUUGGAUGCUGCCCAAAGCAAUUACACAACCACCGAGAAAGAAUUAUUAGCUGUUGUGUUUGCUUUAGAUAAAUUUAGAUCUUACCUGUUGGGAACUAAAGUAAUUAUAUUUUCUGAUCAUGCAGCUUUGAAGUAUUUAGUAGGGAAGAAUGAGGCAAAACCUCGACUGAUCAGGUGGAUUCUACUUCUGCAAGAAUUUGAUUUUGAAAUUCGAGAUAGAAAAGGAUGCGAAAACUUAGUAGCUGACCAUCUGAGUCGAUUACCGAUUCCAGUAGACGACACACCAUUGAAAGACAACUUCCUAGAUGAAAACCUAUUUUCAGCAAAUGUGGUUCAUCCUUGGUACGCAGAUAUAGUAAACUAUCUUGUCACAGGUACUAUACCUUCAGAAUUACCAAUGUUUAAAAAAGAUAAGAUUAAAAAGGACGCUCGAUAUUACAUUUGGGACGAUCCUUACCUAUGGAAGCAUUGCUCCGAUCAGCUAAUCCGACGGUGUGUAACAGAAACAGAGGUACAGUCUAUCCUUGCCUAUGGAAGCAAUGCUCCGAUCAGGUAAUCCGACGGUGUGUAGCAGAAAUAGAGGUACAGUCUAUCUUAACUUUUUGUCAUUCUUAUGCAUGUGGGAGGACACUUUGGACCCAAACGCACUGCACACAAAAUUCUAAAGUGUGGACUAUUUUGGCCAAACAUAUUUCGUGAUGCCUUCUUAUUCUGUAAAACCUGUGAAAGAUGCCAAAAAGUUGGUAACCUUAGUCGACGAAAUGAGAUGCCCCUUACUCCGAUCCAUAUUUGUGAAAUUUUUGAUGUGUGGGGCAUCUAUUUUAUGGGUCCUUUUAUUUCUUCUUUCGGUAAUUUUUAUAUACUCUUAGCUGUUGAUUACGUUUCUAAGUGGAUAGAGGCAAAUGCUACUCGCAAUGAUAAUGCUAAGACUGUGGUUGACUUUCUUAAAAGUUCUAUCUUUUCCAGGUAUGGCACCCCACGAGCAUUAAUCAGCGACAGAGAAACUCAUUUCUACAAUAAACUCGUAAGUGCACUUAUGGAAAAAUAUGGAGUGACUCAACGAAUUGCCACUGCCUACCAUCACAAACAACGGACAAGCUGAAGUGUCAAAUCGAGAAAUCAAGUCCAUACUGGAGAAGACUGUUAAACCUAACAGAAAGGAUUGGAGCUUGAGACUAAACGACGCACUUUGGCUUAUAGGACAGCUUACAAGGGUCCAAUAGCAUGUCACCUUAUCGACUUUUUUUUAAACCGUGCCAUCUCCCGGUCGAAUUAGAGCAUAAAGCUUUUUGGGCAGUUAAGCAGUGUAAUAUGGAGAUGGAGAUCGCAGGAAGAGCUCGAAAGUUGGACAUUCAGGGACUUGAGGAAAUUAGAAACGAUGCAUAUGAAAAUGCUCGAGUUUAUAAAGAAAAGAUGAAGGCGUUCCACGAUGAUCACUAGGAAGCGGUUUUCAAUAGGACAAAAAGUUCUCCUAUACGACUCCACCUUAAAAAUUUUUGGUAAGCUUCGAUCCAAAUGGAUAGUCCAUUACUACCACUAAUUUAUUCUCAAAUGGUGCAGUGGAAAUUCAAAGCGAAGAACCCGGAAGUGCUUUAAGGUGAAUGGACAACGAUUGAAACCCUUCUACGAGAAUUUCAAACGCACACGAUUGAGGAGAUUGUUCUCGAGGAGCCCGAAAAUUGAAUAAUAGGUCGUCGAGCUAAACGACGUUAAACAUAGCGCUGUUGGGAGGCAACCCAAAUUUUCUUUUCCUUUAUGCAAAUAAUUUUUGGUAAAAUGGAAAAUGAAAAUGCAUGUCGANNNNNNNNNNNNNNNNNNNNNNNNNNNNNNNNNNNNNNNNNNNNNNNNNNNNNNNNNNNNNNNNNNNNNNNNNNNNNNNNNNNNNNNNNNNNNNNNNNNNNNNNNNNNNNNNNNNNNNNNNNNNNNNNNNNNNNNNNNNNNNNNNNNNNNNNNNNNNNNNNNNNNNNNNNNNNNNNNNNNNNNNNNNNNNNNNNNNNNNNNNNNNNNNNNNNNNNNNNNNNNNNNNNNNNNNNNNNNNNNNNNNNNNNNNNNNNNNNNNNNNNNNNNNNNNNNNNNNNNNNNNNNNNNNNNNNNNNNNNNNNNNNNNNNNNNNNNNNNNNNNNNNNNNNNNNNNNNNNNNNNNNNNNNNNNNNNNNNNNNNNNNNNNNNNNNNNNNNNNNNNNNNNNNNNNNNNNNNNNNNNNNNNNNNNNNNNNNNNNNNNNNNNNNNNNNNNNNNNNNNNNNNNNNNNNNNNNNNNNNNNNNNNNNNNNNNNNNNNNNNNNNNNNNNNNNNNNNNNNNAAUAGAUAACAUGAGGCUCUUUUCCCUAUUCUUUGGCCAAGAAUAGCUCCCCACACUUUGGUCACUUGCAUCACACUUGAUUUUCGAAUGAGAAGUUCUAAUUUGGUGGUUACACUAUGGGAGCGGAAACCAAUUUCAGCAAGUCAAAUGCGUCUUUACAAGUUUGGUUCAAAUUCAAAUUCUUUAUCCUUUUGUAUUAGAUUGCAAAUCGGUUGCACGAUCACGAUCUUCGAAAAGUCUUUUAUGAAUCGUCUAUAAAAUCCUGCAUGGCCAAGAAACGAACGUACUCCCCUCACAGAUGUAGGUAGGUAAUGAGUCAAUAAUAUCCGUUUUUGCUUUAUCGACCUCAAUACCUUCUGAGGAAAUAUGACCCAAAAUUAAUCCUUUGUCACCAUGAAGUGGCAUUUUUCAUAAUUUAAAAACAAGAUUAAAUUCUAGGCAUCUUUGUAAUAUCUUAGCAAGAUUAUAGAGACAUUCGUUAAAAGAGUUACCGUACACCGUGAAGUCAUCCAUGAAGACUUCAAUGAUUUUCUUGACAUAAUCGAAGAAUAUACUUACCACAACAUCUCUGGAAAGUGGCCAGAGCAUUACAGAGUCCAAACGGCAUUCAUCUAUACGUAAACGUUCCAAAGGGGCACGUGAAAGUUGUUUUGUUUUGAUCCUCUAGAGCCACCAGAAUUUGGAAAAAUCUUGCGUACCCAUCGACAACAAUAAUGGGUCUUACCAACUAAUCGCUCAGCAUUUGAUCGAUGAAGGGAAGUGGAAAAUAGUUUUUCUGAGUAGCUGCAUUCAACUUCCUGUAAUCGAUGCAAACCCUCCAUGCAUUCUGGACUCGGGUAGGGACUAGCUCUCCUGAUGAGUUUUUCACCACUGCCACGCCAGUUUUCUUGGGCACGACAUGAACCGGGCUAACCCAAACACUAUCGGAGAUCGAGUAUAUCAUUCCAGUAUCCAACAAUUUCUGAAUCUCUUACUACCUCUAUCAUGGGUGGAUUAAGGCACCUUUGAGCAUCCUCUCUUUGGUUUCGUGUUUAUCUUCGAUGGAAAUUUUGUGGCAUACAAGUGGAUGGACUUAAACCCUGUUUAUGUCUGCUAUUGUCCAACCAAUAGCUUCCGUAUAAUGCCUCAGAACUCGAACUAGACUUCCUCCUUGUCUUUGAUUAGUUUGUUUAAAAACUAUCAACUGGUAAAGUGUCUUUCUCUCCCAAAAAGACGUACUUGAGGUGGUCCGGUAAUGCUUUAAGCUCCAAGGUUGGUGGCUGCAAAACCGAAGGCAACAUUUUAGUUUGGAAAGGUCAUAGUUCAAAUUGGUUACCCUCGAUUCAUCAACGAUGGUUGCCGUCUCCAAGUGUUUGACAAUUUCUCACAACGGAUCUCCUAUAAUUGAUAAUUCCUUGAGACGACUUAAAACAUCCAGUCAAUGCUUCUGUAAAGGACAGUUUCCAACUCAUAUGGUCAUGAUAUUCAAAUAAGAUUAAGUUAAACAAUCUAUAAUAUUGAUACUAGAAAUACUAAUAGUGAGUUAGGAUGACCCAUAGCUUUGUAGACAUUGAAUUUCACGAUCUCACCGUCAAACUCCUAUUGUCAGUGUCCGCACCGAACGUCAAUUUUUGUGCUUGCGGUACUUAGGAACGGUUUUCCAAGCAAAAUGUCAGAUGAAUUAGUUGAGUUAUCGUCCUCCAUAUUAAUAAUGUAGAAAUCUGAAGGGAAAACUAAUUCAUAACUUUAACAAUGACGUCUUCAAGCAACCCUUUGGGAAAGACGACUGACCUGUUCGCCAACUGAAUUAUUACUCCUGUCUCUUUUAAAAGACCCGUGUUAAUCAACUUAUAAAUAGGAUAAGGCAUAAUAUUAAUGGAAGCCCCUAAAUCACACAUGGAUUUCUUAAUGCCUAAAUUACCUAUCUCACAGGAAAUAGCAAACAUACAUUGGUCAUUUGUAUUUGGGCGGAACUUUUCUUUUGCAGUAUGGCGGAGACAUUUUCUCCUACAUUUAACUCUUCGUUACCUAUUAACCUCUUCUUUAUAGUACACAAUUCCUUGAGGAAAUUUCAAAACGAGGGAUUUGUUUGAUAGCAUCAAGCAAAGUGAUAUUUACCUCCACCUUCCUGAAUGUUUCGAGGAUUUUUUUCCUCCUUAUCUUUUUUAUCCCUUGCGAGCCUCUCUGGAAAAAGGAAGGUGGCAUCACAACUAGUCUCUGAAUUUUUGAUUUCGGUCUGCUUUUGGAUCAGAGAUCUAUUUUUCCCGUUCAUUGUCUUACCCAUGACUUUAGUCUGGAACUGUUUCCAGAACCUUUCCGCUACGAAGAGCUAUUGCACUUGUAUUCUGCCAAGGAUUCGGCUCUAUCUGGGAAGGUAAUUUACCUUGAGAUUCUAAAUAAUUAACCACCAUCGAGAGUUUACUAACUUGAUUAGUUACUCUUGUAUUGAUGCAUCUGUCCUCUGUUAGUAUUUUACAGCAUCGACGGUAAGUCUCUCCAUAAUAGCUUCUAGAGAUAUGCUCGGCUUGGGUUGUUGUUGUGGCGGUGGCGGAGGGUCUUGGUUGGUAUGAUAGAUUGUCCGGUGAUUAGCUCCAUAAUUCAAGUUUGGAUGAUCCUUCCAUCCGGGAUUGUAGGUGUUAGAGAAAGGAUCAUAGCGUCUUUGCGAAGGUCUUGAAAAAACCUCCGACAGCAUCAACAUGUGCCAUUGAAUUAUCGUUAAGGAUUGGGCAUAAAUUCGUUAGAUGUUCAUAUUCCCACACAGUUGGGUCAGAUUCUUCUUUUUUGUAAGUAUAGAUUGAACAAUAUUAGUAAGCUUAUCCAAUUUAUCUUCUAAGGAUGAAACGUUUACCUCAUUAACCCGUCUUGUGGGUUCUGGAUUUGGCCGAUACUGUUGAGAAUUUACCGUCAUGGUGGAUAUCAGUUCUCUUGCCCUUUGAGGAGUCAUAUUUACAAGUGCCCCUCCACUAGUAGUGUCAAUCAUCUUCAUUUCCAUAGGAAGCAAACCCUCGUAGAAAUACUGAAGAAAUGAUUGUUCGGUCAAACUAUGUUGAGGACAACUUGCACAUAGUUUUUUGUACUGCUCCCAAUAGUCGUAGAGCGAUUCACUCUCCAUUUGGCGAAUUCCUACUAUGUCUCUCCUAAGUUCAGCUGCUCACGAUUCUAGAAAGAAUCUGUCAAGAAAUACACGAGAUAAGUCAUCCCAUGUUGUAAUAGAACCGAGGGUAAGUAAAAUAACCAUUCUCUUGUUGUAUCAACUAAAGAAAAUCGAAAGGCCCGAAGUUUAAUUUCAUCUUCAGUUACUCCCUGAGAUUUCAUGCUUGAGCAGACCAUGUGGAAUUCUCUCAAGUGAGUUUGUGGAUUUUCGUUAUUCAAGCCUCGAAAAGUGGGCAAAAGGUGAAUUAGGCCUGAUUUCAACUCAAAUGGGGUUUCUCCGGUUGGAUAGUUGAUGCAUAACGGUGUUUGCUCGUUGGGAGCAGCGACUAGUUGAUGAAUGGUUUGGUUUGCCAUCCUUUCUGGUUCACCGAGGUUAUCUUCUGCUUCUUUCGUUUCAGGAAGUGGUUUGGCCUCAGGUUUAACCACUUCGACUUACUUCCCACGUUGAAUUGCCUCUGCACGAAUUGCUUGACUCAACUUUUCGACUUCAGAUUCUAGGAUCCCUUGUCCUAGCUGAACUUCUACUUUACUUGCACGUUUAAGAGCUUCUGUCUCUUUUCAUCGUGCUCGUGCUAAUUUCUCGAUCUUUGGGUCGUAUUCGAGAUCUUCGGAUGAAGAUCAGGUCCUGAAAAUGAUUUAAACAAUUGUAAGUGUUGCCAGUCCCCGACAACGGUGCCAAAACUAAUGGCUGUCGAUUCCACCAAUAUAAACCUACGCCUAAUUUACAAUUUAAGCAGUAUAGGGAGUAGGGUCGAUCAUUCAGAAACUGGGUUUACUAAAAAUUGUUUCUCUUUCUCGACUAGAUUUUUGUCUGGGCAGUUGUCGUGCCCAAGAAAUUUGGAGGAAGGAUAAAAUUGAAAACCUGGAACCUGAAAUAAACAAGAAAAAAUGCGUGAAAAGUAAAAGCUGAAAAUAAAAUAAUAAAAAUAGUUAAAUAAAUCUGAAGAAAAAUUAAUUAAACUAAGCUCAGCUUUAGGCAUGGGUUUUUCCUCGUCUUUAAACUGAUCCUCGAAAUAAGAUGAACUCCUCUUUUCUAAUAAGCUAGUUAUAACUACCAAGGACACCUCGGACACCAACCCUUCAUUGUGUAAAUUAGUUAUGGAACGUCCAAUAACUAACCCUUACCAAUCGAACAACCAACGAAACGUUCGUGAUUUAGAACUCUGGCAGCUUGGCGUCCUAGAAGAGCCUAGCUCAAACCAAUGCCCUCAACCGCGUGGGACAUUUAAAUCCGAUUAAUACUUCCCUUGACGGAACCAAACAGCAAUCUCCACUUCACACGCCAAUGUGUUCACAGAAAACCGAUUAAACAAUCCAUCCUUUCGGAAUUCGAACUGUACGUCUAACCACACUAACUCAAACGACGUCUUUUUUGACUUAGUGUUGAUUUGACAUUGUCAGUUGACGAAAUCAUACUCUUAAUCCGAAGAAACAACAAGUACUAGAUUUUAGAAGUUAAUUUGCUUAGGUUCGUAACUCACGGAUCUUGACAAGGCUAACUCCGACCUAAAGCUGAAAAUGGAUUUAGUUGACUAAGGUUUGGGACAUGUUGGUAUUGGUCAUAAAUUAAAUAAGGUAAAAAUGGGUAAAAAGAAUGGGUGGCGUGAUUAAGUAUGAGGGCUGGAAUUUUGGUAAUGUAUUAGAGUGGGAUGGUUUGACUACUGGAAAUGAAAAGGAAGUUUGAAAAAGAAAUUGUAAAUGGUUUAAGUUGGUUACAAACUAGAAAUCAAUAAAUAAAAAGAAAAAAAACAGAAACAACGAAUAGCUUCGUGAGAAUGAAGAAGAGAUUGCAUUCAAAGAGGAAAGCUUGAUUUAUGACUUGAUGAAUAAAUGAACAAUGUAGCCCCCUAUUUAUACUAGUGGCUUUGCUAAAUUAAGAGCCACUAGCCAGAGAAAAUCAAGGAAAUAAAAUAUUCCAUGAUAUAAACAAUCCCUACAAAAUCUCCCACUAAGUCAACAAAAAUUUCAGCUAAUUAUAUUGAUUAAAUACUAAAGUUACAUAUUUUAUGUAAUUAAUUUGGUUAAUUUAUGAAAGUGCACCACUAAUUUUGCCAUAUUUAUUAAAUUUUGUGCAGGAAUGCAAUUUGGGGCUAAAUAGAAGAAAAAGGAAACAAUUGGGCUAGAUUGAAGAAAGAAGCAAAGAAGGAGAGCCAAAGAAGAAUUUUUCCAAAAUUAAUUAGCUGAAAUUUUUGAGUUAGUGGGAGAAUAUUUUGGGAUUUAUUUUAUUAUGGGAUAUUUUUCCUUAAUUUCCUAUGACUAGUUGCCUCCUAAUUUAGUAAAUCCUCUAGUAUAAAUAGAGCUUGUAUUGUUCAUCAUUUCAUCAAUCAAAAAAUAUUAAGCUCUUGUCUUUCAAUACAUUCUCUCUUUUCUCACGUAGCAUUGUUGUUUCUUUAGUUUCCUUUCUUUCAAUUUUUUCCAGUAGCUAAUCACCAAAUCAAGCCAUUUGCAAUUUCUUUUUUUUCAAUUCUUUUCCAAAUAGUAAACCACCCCACUUUAAUAUAUUCCAACCCCCAUACUCAAUCACAUCACCCAUCUUUUCACCCAUUUACCUUAAUUAAUUUAUCAAAUACCAACAUGUCCCAAACCUUAGCCAACUAAACCCAUUUUUAGCUUUAGGCCGAAAUUAGCCUCGUCAAAACCCGUGAGUUACGAACCCGAGCCAUUUAACUCCUAAAAUUCCAGUACUUAUUACUUCUCCGGAUUAAGAGUGUGAUUUUGUCAGCUCAUAAAGUCAGAUAAACACUAAGUCAAAAAAGACGUCGUUUUAUUUAGUGUGGUUAGACGUACAGUUGGAAUUCCGAAAGGAACGUUUCCAAUCAGUUUUCUGUGAACACAUUGGUGUGCCAAGUGGAGAUUGCUGUUUGGUUCCGUCAAGGGAAGUAGUAACCGGAUUUAAAUGUCCCACGCGGUUGAGCACAUUGGUUCGAGCUAGGCUCUUCUAGAACGCAAAGUUGCCGGAGUUCUAAAUCACGAACGUUUCGUGGUUGUUCGAUCGGUAAGGAUUAGUUAUUGGACGUUCUAUAACUAAUUUACACAAGGAAGAGUUGGUGUCCGAGGCGUCCUUGGUAGCUAUAACUAGCUUAUUAGAAAAGAGGAGUUCAUCCAAUUUCGAGGAUCGGUUCAAAGACGAGGAAAAUUCGUGUCUAAAGCUGAGCUCAUUCUAAUUAAUUUUUCUUAAUAUUUAUUUCACGGUUUUUAUUAUUCUGUUUUCAACCUUUACUUUUGACGUUAUUUUUCUGUUAAUUUCAGGUUUUCAAACUUUUAUCCCCCCGAACUUCUUAGGCACGACAGCUACCCCGACAUAAAUCUGGUCAAGCGAGCAACAAUUUACAGUAAACCAGUCUCUGAGGGAUCGACCCUACUCCCUAUACUGCAUAAUUUGCAAAUUAAGGCGUAGGUUUAUAUUGGUGGAUUCGACACCCAUCAGUUUUGGCACCGUUGCCGGGGGACUGGCAAUACUUAUAAUUGUUUAAAUUAUCUUCAUGACCAGAUCUUCAUCCGGAGAUCUCGAAUACGACCCAGAGAUCGAAAAAUCAGCACGAGCACGACGAAAAGAGACAGACGCUCUUAAAGAUGCAAGUAAAGAAGAAGUUGAGCUAGGACAAUGGCUCUUAGAAACCGACAUUGAAAAGUUGAGACUAGCAAUUCGAGUAGAGGCAAUUCGACGUGGAAAACAAGUCGAAGUGGUUGAUCCUAAAACCGAACCACUUCCUGCAACAAAAGAAGUAGAAGACAACCUCGGUGAACGAGAAAGGAUGGCGAACCGAACCAUUCGUCAACUAGCCGCUGCUCCCAACGAGCAAACACCGUUAUGCAUCAACUAUCCAAUCGGAGAAACCCCAUUCGAGUUGAAGUCAGGCCUGAUCCACCUUUUGCCCACUUUUCGAGGCUUGAAGAAUGAGAAUCCACAUACCCACUUGAGAGAAUUCCAUAUGGUCUGCUCAAGCAUGAAACCACAGGGAGUAACCGAAGAUGAAAUUAAACUUCGGGCCUUUCCUUUUUCUUUAGUUGAUACAGCAAAAGAAUGGUUAUUUUACUUACCUCCAGGUUCUAUUUCAACGUGGGAUGACUUAUCUCGUGUAUUUCUUGAUAGAUUCUUUCCAGCAUCACGAGCAGCUGAACUUAGGAGAGACAUAGUGGGAAUUCGCCAAAUGGAGAGUGAAUUGCUCUACGACUAUUGGGAGCGGUACAAAAAACUGUGUGCAAGUUGUCCUCAACACGGUUUGACCAAACAAUCACUUCUUCAAUAUUUUUACGAGGGUUUGCUCCCUAUGGAAAUGAAAAUGAUUGACGCAGCUAGUGGUGGGGCGCUCGUCAAUAUGACUCCUCAAAGGGCAAGAGAACUGAUAUCCACUAUGGCGGCAAAUUCUCAACAGUAUCGGCCAAAUUCAAAACCCACAAGACAGGUUAAUGGGGUAAACAUUUCAUCCUUAGAAGAUAAAUUGGAUAAGGUCACUAAUGUUGUUCAAUCUAUGCUUACAGAAAAGAAGAAUCGGACCCAACUGUGUGGGAUAUGUACUACGUCUGAACAUUCGACGGAUUUGUGCCUAAUCCUUAACGAAUAUUUAACGGCACAUGUCGACGCUGUCAGAGGUUUUCCAGGACCUCCACAAAAACGCUAUGAUCCUUUCUCCAACACCUACAAUCCCGGGUGGAAAGAUCAUCCCAACUUGAAUUACGGAGCUAAUCCCUGAUAUAAUCCGUCAUACCAACCGAGACCUUUGCAACCACCGCAACUGCCACUCAAGCCGAGCACAUCUCUAGAAGCUAUUGUGGAAAGACUUGCCGUCGAUGCUGUGAAAUAUCAACAGAGGAUAGAUGAAUCAAUUCAGGAGUUAACUAAUCAAGUUAGUAAACUCUCGAUGGCAGUUAAUCGUUUGGAAUCUCAAGGUAAAUUACCUUCCCAGACAGAGCCGAAUCCUCGGCAGAAUGCAAGUGCAAUAACUCUUCGUAGCGGAAAAGUUCUGGAAACAGUUCCAGACAAAAGUCAUGGGCAAGACAAUGAACGGGAAAAAUAUAUCUCUGAUCCAAAAGCCAGACCAAAAUCAGAAAUUCAGAAACCAGUUGUGGUGCCACCUUCUUUUCCAGGGAGACUCGCGAAGGAUAAGAAAGAAAAGGAGGAAAAAGAAAUCCUCGAAACGUUCAGGAAAAUGGAGGUGAAUAUCCUUUUGCUCGACGCCAUCAAACAAAUCCCUCGUUAUGCAAAAUUUCUCAAGGAAUUGUGCACUAGCAAAAGGAGGUUAAUAAGUAACGAAAGAGUAAAUGUAGGAGAAAAUGUCUCCGCGGUACUACAAAAGAAAGUUCCGCCUAAAUACAAGGACCAAGGUAUGUUUGCUAUUUCCUGUGAGAUAGGUAAUGUAGGCAUUAAGAAAGCAAUGUGUGAGUGAGGCGCUUCCAUUAAUGUUAUGCCUUAUCCUAUAUAUAAGUUGAUUAAGGCGGGUCCUUUGAAAAAGGCAGGAGUAAUAAUCCAGUUGGCAGACAGGUCAGUCAUCUAUCCCGAAGGGUUGCUUGAAGACGUCCUUGUUAAAGUUAACGAAUUAGUUUUCCCUGCAGAUUUCUACAUUAUUAAUAUGGAGGACGAUAACUCAACUAAUUCGUCUGAUAUUUUGCUUGGAAGGCCAUUCUUAAGUACCGCAAGCGCAAAAAUUAAUGUUCAGAGUGGAACAUUGACAAUGGAGUUUGAUGGCGAAAUCAUGAAAUUCAAUGUCUACGAAGCCAUGAGUCAUCCUAACUCAUUGUCAAAUAUUUCCAGUAUCGAUAAUAUAGAUUGUUUAACUUAAAAUUAUUCUGAAUAUCAUGACUUUGAUGAGUUGGAAACUGUCCUUUACAGAAGCAUUGACAUGGAUGUAUUGAGUCGUCUUGAGGAGUUAACGGUUAUAGAAGAUCCGUUGCGAGAAACUGUCAAACACUUGGAGACUCAACCAUCAUCGGCGAGUCGAGGUAACCAUCUUGAACUAUUACCUUCCCAAGUUAAAAUGUUGCCUUCGAUUUUGUAGCCACCAACCUUGGAGCUUAAAGCGUUACCAGACGACCUCAUGUAUGUCUUUUUGGGAGAGAAAGAUACCUUACCGGUAAUAGUGUCAAAUAGACUAACCAAAGACGAGGAGGAAAGUCUAGUUCGAGUUCUGAAGGAUUAUAAGGAAGCUAUUGGUUGGACAAUAGCUGACAUAAAAGGGCUAAGUCCGUCCACUUGUAUGCACAGAAUUUCCAUCGAAGAUAACACGAAACCAAAGAGAGAUGCUCAGAAGCGCCUUAAUCCACCCAUGACGGAGGUAGUAAAGAAGGAGAUCCAGAAAAUGUUGGAUGCUGGAAUGAUAUACCCGAUCUCUGACAGUGAUUGGGUUAGCCCAGUUCAUGUCGGCCCAAGAAAACUGGCGUGACAGUGGUGCAAAAUUCAUCAGGAGAGCUAGUUCCUACUCGAGUCUAGAAUGGAUGGAGGGUUUGCAUCGAUUACAGAAAGUUGAAUGCAGCUACCCAGAAGGACCAUUUCCCACUUCCCUUCAUCGAUCAAAUGCUCGAGCGAUUAGCUGGUAAGACUCAUUAUUGUUGUCUCGAUGGAUAUUCAGGAUUUUUCCAAAUUCCGGUGGCGCUUGAAUAUCAAGACAAAACAACUUUCAUGUGCCCCUUUUGAAUGUUUGCGUAUAGACGAAUACCGUUUGGACUCUGUAAUGCUCCGGCCACCUUUCAGAGAUGCAUGGUAAGCAUAUUCUCCGAUUACGUCGAGAAAAUCAUUGAAGUCUUCAUGGAUGACUUCACGGUGUACGGUAACUCUUUUAAUGAAUGUCUCGAUAAUCCUGCUAAGAUAUUACAAAGAUGCCUAGAAUUUAAUCUUAUUUUAAAUUAUGAAAAAUGCCACUUCAUGGUUGACAAAGGAUUAAUUUUAGGCCAUAUAGUUUCCUCAGAAGGUAUUGAGGUUGAUAAAGUAAAAACGGAUAUUAUUAACUCAUUACCUUACCCCACAUCUGUGAGGGAAAUUCGUUCGUUUCUUGGGCGUGCAGGAUUUUACAGACGAUUCAUAAAAGACUUCUCAAAGAUCGCGCAACCGCUUUGCAGUCUGUUACAGAAGGAUAAAGAAUUUAAAUUUGACCAGACUUGUAAAGAUGCAUUUGACGUACUGAAGCAGAAAUUGGUCUCCGCCCCUAUAGUACAACCACCAAAUUGGAACUUCCCCUUCGAAAUUAUGUGUGAUGCAAGUGAUCGAAGUGUGGGAGCUGUUCUUGGCCAAAGAAUAGGGAAAGAGCCUCAUGUUAUCUACUACGCUUCGAAAACCUUGGAUGCUGCCCAAAGCAAUUACACAACCACCGAGAAAGAAUUAUUAGCUGUUGUGUUUGCUUUAGAUAAAUUUAGAUCUUACCUGUUGGGAACUAAAGUAAUUAUAUUUUCUGAUCAUGCAGCUUUGAAGUAUUUAGUAGGGAAGAAUGAGGCAAAACCUCGACUGAUCAGGUGGAUUCUACUUCUGCAAGAAUUUGAUUUUGAAAUUCGAGAUAGAAAAGGAUGCGAAAACUUAGUAGCUGACCAUCUGAGUCGAUUACCGAUUCCAGUAGACGACACACCAUUGAAAGACAACUUCCUAGAUGAAAACCUAUUUUCAGCAAAUGUGGUUCAUCCUUGGUACGCAGAUAUAGUAAACUAUCUUGUCACAGGUACUAUACCUUCAGAAUUACCAAUGUUUAAAAAAGAUAAGAUUAAAAAGGACGCUCGAUAUUACAUUUGGGACGAUCCUUACCUAUGGAAGCAUUGCUCCGAUCAGCUAAUCCGACGGUGUGUAACAGAAACAGAGGUACAGUCUAUCCUUGCCUAUGGAAGCAAUGCUCCGAUCAGGUAAUCCGACGGUGUGUAGCAGAAAUAGAGGUACAGUCUAUCUUAACUUUUUGUCAUUCUUAUGCAUGUGGAGGACACUUUGGACCCAAACGCACUGCACACAAAAUUCUAAAGUGUGGACUAUUUUGGCCAAACAUAUUUCGUGAUGCCUUCUUAUUCUGUAAAACCUGUGAAAGAUGCCAAAAAGUUGGUAACCUUAGUCGACGAAAUGAGAUGCCCCUUACUCCGAUCCAUAUUUGUGAAAUUUUUGAUGUGUGGGGCAUCUAUUUUAUGGGUCCUUUUAUUUCUUCUUUCGGUAAUUUUUAUAUACUCUUAGCUGUUGAUUACGUUUCUAAGUGGAUAGAGGCAAAUGCUACUCGCAAUGAUAAUGCUAAGACUGUGGUUGACUUUCUUAAAAGUUCUAUCUUUUCCAGGUAUGGCACCCCACGAGCAUUAAUCAGCGACAGAGAAACUCAUUUCUACAAUAAACUCGUAAGUGCACUUAUGGAAAAAUAUGGAGUGACUCAACGAAUUGCCACUGCCUACCAUCCACAAACAAACGGACAAGCUGAAGUGUCAAAUCGAGAAAUCAAGUCCAUACUGGAGAAGACUGUUAAACCUAACAGAAAGGGUUGGAGCUUGAGACUAAACGACGCACUUUGGGCUUAUAGGACAGCUUACAAGGGUCCAAUAGGCAUGUCACCUUAUCGACUUGUUUUUGGUAAACCGUGCUAUCUCCCGGUCGAAUUAGAGCAUAAAGCAUUUUGGGCAGUUAAGCAGUGUAAUAUGGAGAUGGAGAUCGCAGGAAGAGCUCGAAAGUUGGACAUUCAGGGACUCGAGGAAAUUAGAAACGAUGCAUAUGAAAAUGCUCGAGUUUAUAAAGAAAAGAUGAAGGCGUUCCACGAUAAGAUGAUCACUAGGAAGCGGUUUUCAAUAGGACAAAAAGUUCUCCUAUACGACUCCACCUUAAAAAUUUUCGCUGGUAAGCUUCGAUCCAAAUGGAUAGGUCCAUUUACUACCACUAAUUUAUUCUCAAAUGGUGCAGUGGAAAUUCAAAGCGAAGAAACCCGGAAGUGCUUUAAGGUGAAUGGACAACGAUUGAAACCCUUCUACGAGAAUUUUCAAACGCACACGAUUGAGGAGAUUGUUCUCGAGGAGCCCGAAAAUUGAAUAACAGGUCGUCGAGCUAACGACGUUAAACAUAGCGCUGUUGGGAGGCAACCCAAAUUUUCUUUUCCUUUAUGCAAAUAAAAUUUUUGGUAAAAUGGAAAAUGAAAAUGCAUGUCGAGGAUUAGUUCUGUCUAAAGAAAGACUUAGUACUUAAGUAUGUCCAUUGUGACUCACCUCUCUUUCCUGGGAACUUACUUGGCACAUUCAUCACUACUGUUUUACCAAAUCUCGUAAUCUUGGUUUUUAAUAAUUUAUUUCUCGAGUUUAUAGCUUAGCUAAUAAAUUUGAAAAAAAAACAUUUUAAUUUUCCUAUUAUUAUUAUUUAUUUUUACUAUUUUAUUUUAUUUUCAUUUUUAUUUUUACAGGAAACAUUCCAAGACAAAAUUAAAUUCCACAUGUCAACCUUCUUUUUAUUUCAGCCAAGGCCCACUCUAUCUACGAGACCACCCUCCAUGACAUUGAAAUACAUGGGGAGUUUCUUUUUUCUCUCUUUCUCCUACUUAUCUUUACUUUUAUUCUUUAAAUUACAUUGGGACAAUGUAAAAUAAGUAGGGGGGAAGGAAACAUAAAUUGGUUCUAAUAUGAUUAUCUGUCAUCACUAUUUUUGCAUGUUUUUGGUAAAAGGUAAAAUUUUUCUUUUGAUAAAUUGGGAUGGUACACUUAUGGUUUGACCUAUUUAGCUAUUUAAUUCUUUACACAUGGAACUUUUCAAUAACCUAGACUUAGUGGGUAAGAAAUUUUUAGGAAUUAUAAGUUUGCUUGACUGCCUACUUUUUAUCAUAUGUCAAAUUUUUGAAUGUCAAAAAAAAAUACUCCUCUGAUACGAAUGUUAAGAGUGAAAAAUUGGGGUUUUACAUCGGGCUGAGUAACCAGAACAUGGUGCUUGGGUUGUCAUCAUGUCUCGCGUAAAAAGGUUCAUGUGGUUGCCCAAUUUCUUUGCACUCACUCCGCUAACAAGUUAUCAUGAGUAGGGCGAAAUAACCCGCUUAGAGACGUCCGAAUUGAGUAACCGGAAUAUGGUGCUUGGGUUGUCAUCAUGUCUCGCGUCAAAAAAUUUGAAAAUGCCCUAAGUACAAAAAUAAUAAAAUGAAAGGUAAGCCUAUCAAGCUCUCAUAAAUUCUGAAAUAUAUUUACUUACUUCUUAGGCUAGGCUAUUUGAGAUGUUAAUGUGCUAGGAUUAAAUUGUUGAAAUGUGCAAACCAUGGGGGUCAAGUCCUAUUUUGGAGAAAAUUUUUCCUUUUGCAGAUACAUACAAAAUGCUCGAGGACUAGCAUAAGCUAAGUGGGGGGAAUUGAUUAAAUACUAAAGUUACAUAUUUUAUGUAAUUAAUUUGGUUAAAUUAUGAAAGUGCACCACUAAUUUUGCCAUAUUUAUUGAAUUUUGUGCAGGAAUGCAAUUUGGGGCUAAAUAGAAGAAAAAGGAAACAAUUGGGCUAGAUUGAAGAAAGAAGCAAAGAAGGAGGGCCAAAGAAGAAUUUUUCCAAAAUUAAUUAGCUGAAAUUUUUGAGUUAGUGGGAGAAUAUUUUGGGAUUUAUUUUAUUAUGGGAUAUUUUUCCUUAAUUUCCUAUGACUAGUUAGCUCCUAAUUUAGUAAAUCCUCUAGUAUAAAUAGAGCUUGUAUUGUUCAUCAUUUCAUCAAUCAAAAAAAUAUUAAGCUCUUGUCUUUCAAUACAUUCUCUCUUUUCUCACAUAGCAUUGUUGUUUCUUUAGUUUCCUUUCCUUCAAUUUUUUCCAGUAGCUAAUCACCAAAUCAAGUAAUUUGCAAUUUCUUUUUUUUUUUCAAUUCUUUUCCAAAUAGUCAACCACCCCACUUUAAUAUAUUCCAACCCCCAUACUCAAUCACAUCACCCAUCUUUUCACCCAUUUACCUUAAUUAAUUUAUCAAAUACCAACAUGUCCCAAACCUUAGCCAACUAAACUCAUUUUCAGCUUUAGGCCGAAAUUAGCCUCGUCAAAACCCAUGAGUUACGAACCCGAGCCAUUUAACUCCUAAAAUUCCAGUACUUAUUACUUCUCCGGAUUAAGAGUGUGAUUUUGUCAGCUCAUAAAGUCAGAUAAACACUAAGUAAAAAAAGACGUCGUUUUAUUUAGUGUGGUUAGACGUAUAGUUGGAAUUCCGAAAGGAACGUUUCCAAUCGGUUUUCUGUGAACACAUUGACGUGCCAAGUGGAGAUUGCUGUUUGGUUCCGUCAAGGGAAGUAGUAACCGGAUUUAAAUGUCUCACGCGGUUGAGCACAUUGGUUCGAGCUAGGCUCUUCUAGAACGCAAAGCUGCCGGAGUUCUAAAUCACGAACGUUUCGUGGUUGUUCGAUUGGUAAGGGUUAGUUAUUGGACGUUCCAUAACUAAUUUACACAAGGAAGAGUUGGUGUCCGAGGUGUCCUUGGUAGCUAUAACUAGCUUAUUGGAAAAGAGGAGUUCAUCCAAUUUCGAGGAUCGGUUCAAAGACGAGGAAAAUUCGUGUCUAAAGCUGAGCUCAUUCUAAUUAAUUUUUCUUAAUAUUUAUUUCACGGUUUUUAUUAUUCUGUUUUCAACCUUUACUUUUGACGUUAUUUUUCUGUUAAUUUCAGGUUUUCAAAUUUUUAUCCCCCCGAACGUCUUGGGCACGACAGCUGCCCCGACAUAAAUUUGGUCAAGCGAGCAACAAUUUACAGUAAACCAGUCUCUGAGGGAUCGACCCUACUCCCUAUACUGCAUAAUUUGCAAAUUAAGGCGUAGGUUUAUAUUGGUGGAUUCGACACCCAUCAUAUAUCUUGGAAAUAUUCUGCUUUGGCCCUCCUACUUUGCUUCUUUCUUCAAUCUAGUCCAAUUGUUUCCUUUUCCUUCUAUUUAGCCCAAAAUUGCACCGCUGCACAAAAUUCAACAUAAACAUAGAAAAAAUCAGUGGUGCACUCUCAUAAAUUAACCAAUUUAAUUACAUAAAAUAUGUAAUUUUAGCAUUUAAUCAACCAAUUUUAUCCAUUCUAACUAGAAAUUCUAUCAAUCAAACCCUAAUUCAACAAUUUGUUCAACAUGAAUCAUAUUAAAAAAUCUAAUAACUUUCAAAAUUUUAACUUAAAUUCAACAAAACUUUGUUUUAAGACCUCUAAAACAUCAAAAUUAAAAGAAAAGGACUUGAUUAACUUACCAAAUUAAAGCUUAAAGCCUCAAACCCUAGUUUUUCCCUUUUCUUUUCUUUCCCCUUUCCUUUCUUUCUUUUUCAUCUAUUAUCUGUUUCUUCUUUCUAUUUUGUUUCCCUUUCAUUUCAUUUCAUUUUCUUUUAUUUGUUUUGUUUUGUUUUAAUUAUAAUAAUAUAAUAUAUAUUUACUUAAUUAAUAACCAAUACAUAUUUUAUUAUGAAAUACAUAUGUUUAUUAUUAUUACACAUGUAUUUACCAACACCACUCACUUGUCUAUUAUCAUCACCAUACACUUGUCUUAAUUUUAAUUUAUUCCAUAAUAUAAUAAUAUAAUUAAUAUAAUUAUAAUUUUUUAACACCCCAAACCCGUCCUGGACGUUAUGGCCAAAUCUGGCGAUGUCACAUAGAAGUGCAUUUGAAAACCGUAUCAUUGCUAAAAUCAUUAUCCGUUUAGAACUUAUCAUUAUCUUUCAUUAAUUCUCAAAUCGUGAUUCAUUUCCAAAACGCUAUACUUUGCGGAAGCUUUUAAAAUAGCUUGUGUGUGCGUGGUAUUUUGAUAAAACAUUCAUCUCUUUUAAAACCUGAGUUUUACCUACCUCUAGCAGAUAUAAACAGAAAAUAGUAGAAAAUCCAAAUUUUAGGUAAAAAAUCCAUAGAGGCCAUUAUUACAGAAAAAUACCCCAAAAUAAAACUUAAAAUUGUAAAUAAGUAUCAAAUAGAAAAAAUGAGUCGUGUGGCCACCGCUGAGUCCUCCACCACACCGAUCCACCUAUGUCUGGGGCUUACCUGUACAGAUUAAAUAGAAAGGGUAAGUUUACGUAAACUUAGUGUGUAAUCCCCAUGCAAACAAAUAGACAAUAACAGAUAAUCUCAGUUUGGGCCUAAGCCCUUUUCAGUAUCAGUAAGCAUUAGGGCCUUAGCCCAUCACAGUACAGUAACAGUGACAGUUAUGCGGUUAUAAAUCCUACCCAACCAGCCUCUACACUCCAUCUCCAUCCAACCCUACACUCUAUGUGGGGAUAUAAUCAACCCACCUAUCCCUACACUCCAAAUAGUACCGAAUGCGGCACUAAACAGUAGUUGCAGCUAAGCUGCCAGUAAGUUAGGCUUGAAGCCAUUCAGUACACUUCCUCCAAUCAAUAUAGUGUAUACAGCAUGCUCAACAUACAGACAUACAUAUCUAUCUUAUAUAGGCAUAUAACAGUCUUUCAAUCAUUUCAGUCAAUUAGGGGUCUAAGUAAACUUACCCACCCUACAGUAGGUUCACAGUCGACUUGGACGACCCGUGCAACCUUAGCAGUCAAUGAGUGAAAAUGGGCCCACAGGCCUAUGUUGCAUCCCAUGUAGGCCCACAUGCUCGUGUGGCCCACACGGCCCAAAAUGGCCUCGGCCGUAUGGAUCACACGGUCUAUCACAAUAUUCUUACAUGUCCGUGUGGUUUAUCUGUACGAGGCCCACACGCCCGUAUGGCCCAUACGGCGUAUUUCAGCUCAGCCCAUGAAUCGCAUAUAGCCGGCCUCGUUGAUCACAUGCUCAUGUUCGAUCACACGACCUACCACAUAGGCAGCCGCACACCCGUGUGACGUCGACAAUUACAUUUUUUGGCUUUUCGCCUAUUUCUGUUUUCAGAGUUGUGUUUACACACCUGGUUCGUUUGUGACGUUAAAACACUUCCAAGAUCCCCAGCACCUAUGGUCAACAACCAAACCCCACAAUCAGUCCUAAUUCCUAGUUAACUUGAAACCAAAAUAUUGACAAUGAUUCGUUCAAUCCAUUCGUUACCUACCUUUAAAACCGAGCAACCCCCAACUAUGGAUUCGAACGAGAUAGGUUACCACUCCCACAAUUCACUGCUGACAAAUCUGAUAGACCCAAUAAGACAACAAUUCACAUCUUCAUAGCUUAAAAGAAUAGAAAAGCUUCCCCUAAUUCACCAAACACAAUCACCUUACCUACUAAACGAAUGACGGCAGAACCACACCGCUCCAAUGCUAAUCGAUUCGUUCUGGCCCUUAACCUUCAACAAUGAAGCAGUCGACCUAUCACCAAAAAUCCAUAAACCAAAUAACACCACAGUUACAAAACUUACCACCAAUGCACAAAAACAAAACGGAGAUGACAAAUUGCGGCAAUAAAGAUUUGAGAAGGAAAUGGACUACUAAAAAAACCAAAGCAGGGAGAGAAGGAAAUUUUCAGCGGUAGUCGACAACAAACAAAAAGAGGAGAAAAGAAAGGCCAAUGGCAUAAUUCGCAGAGAGAAUAAUAGCCAGGUAAAAAAAUAGAGGAGGAAAAACAGUCGACUGCAAGGGAGAGAAAAGAAUCGGCAAAGAAAAUGAAGGGGAAGGAUGAAAAGAGGGAGAAGAUUCAACCAAGGGAGGAGGGGGACGUUUGCUCACCUUAAUUAACUCCCCCUAUCCCUAAAUUUGGGAAGCACAGAAUUCCACUCAAUUACCACUACCCCCUAAAUCCCUUAAUUAACUCCCCCUAUCCCUUAAUUUCACUCCCCAAUCGUCCACCACAAUCCCCUCAACCAUCGAAUUCAAACCCCACUCAAAACACCCUCACGACACAAGCAGUAAAAAUAAAUCUCAUGUUUGAGUAAGAACUUGAACUCCAAACCUCCUACUCAAUUGCAAUCCACUUAACCACCAAACCAACAAACUCAUUUUAAUGUAUUUUACCAAUAUUUAUUUAUAAGCCUACUGACUAGAGAUAGAGGUUUAUUCAUUUAAAAACAAAAAAUUUUCCCAAGCUAAUGCUUGAACUUGGGACCUCCCAAAUAUUCCCAAAAUACAUAGCUAUUAAAAUUGACAGAUAUUUUUGAUACAAAUAUACGAAAAUAAAUAUAUAAGAGAUUUUUGGGACGUUACAAAUUUUGAAUAAAUAAUAAUAUAUCUAAUUAAUUAACAUAAAUAUCUAAGAUUUUUAUACACAUUUGCCGCCUCAUUUAAUGGAAUAGGCUUAAUUGCCUAUUUAGUCCCUACUAUUUUCUUUUAAUCUAUAAUUAAACUUUUGCACCUUAUUCUAUUUAGUCCUUUUUCCUAAUUUCUCUUAUUUAAACUAAAUUCAUCCAAUUAAAACUUAAUCGGGCACAUCACUAGACUCAUAAUUACUCCUAAUAAUUAUUUACGGACUCGGUUUACUAAGACGAAGGCCCGAUAUUGCACUUUUUCGAUGCCCAUGAAUUUUGGGUCAUUACAUAUUGUAGAUAGACACUAAUCUUAGUUUAUGUAAUUCAAUCUAUACCGAAAGAUUUGGGUAUGCUUUUUAUGUCUACAAUUCUUUCGUGGGUAUGCUUAUAUUACUUUUUGUGUAGUGUCUUGUUUUACAUAGUUUAUAAUUGUCCCAACGAAUUUAAUUUAGAAUUUCUUUUUUUUUGUUUAUUCUGUGUGUUGUGUCAAUUUAUUUAUUUAUUUAUUUAAAAUGUUUUUUUUAUGUUCUAUUUUUUUUUCAUUUGUAAGCUUUUAUAAGAUUAUAUUUAUUUAUACAUUAAUACUUUUUCUUAUGUAAAAUUUUGUACGUUAACAUAUUUUUAUCGUAUUUACUUUAUUUUCCAUGACACGAUAUUUUUAAUUAUUUUUAAUACUUCUAUAUCAUGUUUUAAUUCGACAAUGUUCAUAGUUUUAUGAAAAUAAUUCUAUUUUAUUCUAAAUCAUGAUAAUGAUAUGGGCACCCAAACCGCAAACUUCACUACAAAACCCCAAAAACACAGAGAGCAAAGUCAAAACUCUUAACGAAAGACAUGAUGGAAUUGGCGAUGGAAACACAGAACAGAACAGCGACACCUUAAUUAAGUCCCCUACAUCAUUCUCUCAACAUAAACCAAAGGAUUAAGUCUCCAUUAGAAUAGGUUUUAUUUGUUUAUUCUCAUUUAUUUAUUUUGAUAAAUCAACAUAAACAACAACCCAAAUGUUGAUUUACAACCUUAACUUUAAGCAAUUAAACGAUAAGUCGGCUUUACAAGUAAAUGAUUAGCCCUCGGCAACGAAAGGCCGAACUUCUCGGUCAUGUCGAGUUCAAUAGGCAACAUCCCAUCAGGCAACUCCCAAUCAAAGCAAUGGGCUAAUUGAGCUAAAAUAAGACGCAUGCUGAUUAGAGCUAACUGCAUUCCGGGACAUCCUCUACGACCGGUUCCGAACGGAAUGAGUUCGAAAUCAUGCCCUCGAAGGUCUAUCUUCCUAUCCUUGAAUCUUUCUGGAAAGAACUCUUCGGCAUUGCUCGACCAUAUCUUGGGGUUUCGCCCCAUGGACCAAGUGUUCACCAAAAGCCGCGACUUCUUAGGUAUGAAAUACCCAUUAACGGUGACAUCUUCGGUCGACUCGUGCGGGACUAACAACGGUGCCGCCGGAUGCAACCUGAAACUCUCUUUGAUGACCAUAUCCAAAUAGGCAAGUUUCGGUAGGUCCGACUCUUCUACCAUUCUAUUCCUUCCGACAACACUUUCUAGCUCUUUCUGGAGAGCAACCAUGACUCGAGGAUGCUUUAGAAGUUCUGUAAAUGUCCACUCAAUGGCCGUGGAUGUAGUGUCGAAGGAAGCUGCCACCAUGUCCACCAUUAUAGCCUUGAUGUUUUCUCUACCAAUGAUGUAGGGUUGAUCUUUAUCGUUAGGGUUUAUGGGUGUAUCCAACAACGAAACCAUCACUUGAAAGAAACUUCUAUAAGGUUUUUGGUCAUCCAUGUUAAUCCCUUGUUGGUAUUCAUCUAUCAUUUUCUCAAAAAAUUCGUGAAGGCCACUACUCACCUUCUUAAGCCUUCUUGUAUAUCCCUGCAGCGUAAAGAUAGAUAUGAUAGAAUCAGUUUUAUAUUAAUUGUAUUUUUCAUUAUAAUUAUUCUUUGUGAAAAAACCAACGAGUCAUUCAACCAAAUAUUAAGACUUCCGAGUUUCACUCUGCAUCUUAUAAGAUUACUAUAACACAAUUUAUUAUGCUUUAAAAUUGGUAUUACUAUUAGUACGAAAAAAUAAAUAAAUUAUGAAAAAGAAAAAUAGUACAUAAAAAAACAGGAUAUAAGGAGGAAAAAAAAAACGUUACCUGAAGAUCAAGUGGAGCAAGGAAAGGCACAUAAUCCGAGAGAUUGAAAACCCCAGAUAAGUGCAGGGCCUCAUCAACCAGCGGCUUAAAAUAGAUUUUAUCAUCCAUGGACCGCCCGAAUAACACUUUCGACAUCAUUUCUUCAAGAACCUUAGCCACCGCCUGGCUAAGGUUUAUUGUUUCACCCGCCGCAGCUACCUUUCUCACUGAUUCAACCAAUAACCCCACCUCCGCCUUCCUUAUCGGGGCAAAGCAUUCAACUUUGGAAGCACUGAGGAAAUGCAAAAUACACCAUUUCCGUACAGUUCGCCAGUAAGAACCGUACUGGGUAAAACCAACGGCCUUGCCACCAUAUGCCAAGUAUUUCGCGGAUUGGACUUUAGGCCUGGAAGCAAAAACGACGUCAUGGACCUUGAGGAACAGUUCAGCGGCUUCGGGUGAUGAUACCACGAUGGUUGGUACUUUGCCUAGCAUUAUCGACAUGAUGGGUCCAUAUUUUUCGGCGAGAUAGUGAAGACUAUGGUGUGGGAGGUUCCCUAGCAUGUGGAUGUUACCUAUGAUGGGAAGAGGGGCAGGACCGGGUGGAAGUUUCCGGCCAUUUUUGUUGCGGUUUGGUGAGCUGAAGAAGUAGAUAAAGGAACAGAGAGUUCCAAGGAGGACGAAGAGUAAGGUUAAUGUUGAAGAAGACAUUUGGGAGGGAAGCCAAUCACAAUAGCUGGUAGUCAUUGGGGAUUGAUUGAUUGAGUACUUGUAGAUGGAAGCAACCGAUGGCAGCUGCAAGUCGGGAGAAUUCGCCAAAUAUGUCGAUUUAAAUAAAAUUAGGGAGUUCGACUUUUUUUUUUUUAAUGUAAGGAAAAAAGUUGAUUUUUGCGGGCUUAUUUUUCCAGUUGAAUUAUUUACAUGGUAAGAAAAUAUUCUUAUAAUUUUUAUUUUAUUUUUUAUGUUUGUAUAACCAAGAUGAAGAUUAAAUUAUUGAAAUUUAUAUACAAGCAAUUUAAGUGCAAGAGCACCACGUGUUAGUGAAUAAUACUUGAAAGAGGUGAGAUUCUUACACAUGUCUCAUAUGCUCAACGAGACUAAAUUGAAGUCUGCACUUAUCAGUGCUUUGUUGAGAAAUGGAGAUCCGAAACACAUAAAUUCCAUCUUUCGUGCAGAGAGUGUACGAUUACAUUUAAGGAUGUAUCAUUACAACUUGAUCUACCAAUUGAUGAGGCAGUCAUUACGGUUGGGGAUUGGAGGCCAAUUUGCCACCAGCUAUUAGGCAAGGUGUCAGGCAAGUUUAGUGGUAAUCAAAUAUAUAUGAAAUGGUUAGAAGAUAAUUUCUCACAUCACAAAACUCUUCUAGUGUAGUUGAAAGACAACAAUUAACUCGAGCAUUUAUACUAAGGUUAAUCGGGGGUCUUCUAAUGUCAUAUAAAUCUCAAAAUUUGGUAUAUUUAAGGGGACACCUAUAACUAAUUAACCUAAAAGAAACUGGGCAAGUCAGUUGGGGAUCAAUUGUCUUGGCUACAUUGUAUCGAAAGAUGUGUAGGACAACAGAAGCACAAAAAUUAAAAUCGGUGGUUGUAUAUUCCUUCAAUCAUGGGUAUAGUAUCGCUUACCAUUUUUACAUCCCGAGAAAACUCUCAUUAUCAAUUAUUACUCGUAAUAAGGUAACAUUCAUUUAAUAAUAUAGUUAUCAUAUUAUCUUUUUUUCAUUAUUAUAUUUUUGGAAUAACAUAUUAUUUGAAACUAAUAAACUUGAAGAUAUUUGGUUAUUGUUAAAUCAAUGGUUAAAAGUCGAGGUUAGUUUUUGAAUUUUUUUAGUUACAUAAUAAUUAUGUAAGGAUUUGAAAUUUAAUAUUAGGUAGGUAUGAAAUUUAUAAUUUCGUAUUAUAAUUUAGAUGGAUGUCAUACUCUGAUCCGAGAAUUGAAGAAUGUAUCCCGUUUAAAUUUUUGACGAAUCAUAAUAUUUGACACGUUAAAGUGUCAUUAAUAGUUUUUACAUUGUCUAUUUUUAAUAAAUAUAUUUGAAGUAAAUUUUUUUAUAUAUUCUAUUUGAACAUUUUUAGAUUUUAAAAAAAAAAUUAUACAUACUUUUCAUAUAUUUUUUUUAAAAAUUAGGACCAAAUUAAUAGAAUAUAAAAAUAUUGAUGGUUUAAUUUAUUAUUAUAUCAAUCAAAAUUAUUACAAUUGAUGGAAAAUAUUAUUUUUCAUGAUGGAAAACAAUUAUACAUACUUUUCAUCCACCUAAAUCUGCUGGUCUAUUUGCGAAGGCUUUCCUUCUUUUAGCUACAAUUGUAUUUAUUAAUUCAUAGAUUUGUCGGGAUAACAAAAAAAUUAUAAACAAUUAUAAUGAGCCAAUGGCCAUUACUUGCAGGGACCACUGGAUCAAUCACAAAUGCCGACACCUAAAAUCAUAUAGUUAUUUUGGAUAAAUCUAACGUGAUGUAAAGUAUAUAUAUUUAUAAAAUAUUAUAAAUUAUAAUAUCAUAUAAUAAAAUAAUAUAUGAAUUUUAAUUGUAUUGGGUAACAUGUAUUUGUUUUCAACAUACCAUAAUGGGAAGGAAAAUGUGGAUACAGAUAUAAGUUGGGCAAGAAGUUACAAGUGGUUCAACACGGCAUGAUUGCAUGAUGUGAGGGUGACAACUAACCAGGGGACAUGUCCAACCAGACGAUGGGUUAAAUUUAAUACGGAUAGAGUUGUAUCCAGAAAUAACUCAUUUGCGGGCAUUGGGGGAGUGUUUAGCGGUGCCGACAGCUAGUGGUGAGGUGGUUUUUCGAUGAAGUUAGGAAAUGAUUCAAUUUUCAAGAUUGAGGCGAGAGCCUUACUUAAAGGCCUACUUAUAUCAUGGAGAAAAGGUUAUCGACAGUUGGAAGUGGAAUGUGAUAAUACUCUCUUAGUUGAAUUGAUUUUAGCUGGCAGAGUUGCAGAUAGUCAUUUGACUGAAAUGCGCCUUAUCCAUCAUUUAUUGAGUUGGAAUUGGAAGAUCCUUGUUCCUCUUACUUCGAGGUCGCAAAAUACAGUAGUUGAUCAUAUGGCCAAGUGUAUGGCGACUAUUUCCACAUAAAUUCAUUGGUUUGAAGAACCACCGCAAUUAGCUAGAAGUUUAAUUGAGGCGGAUUAUGUUCUUACUUUGAGUCACUAGUGUCAUUUUUUGAGUUUUUCGCUUUAAGCUAUCUUUUUUCUACCAAAAAAAAUGUGUACAAUUACUUUACACUACAUGAAUUAUUGAGAGGAGAAAUUCAUAUUAGUUAUAUAUAUUAUAAUUUGUAUAUAAUAAAUAUUUUAAUAAUUGUUGCAUGUUAUAUUUAUGUAAUAUGGUAUGCAACCGUUUUUUUAUUGUUUAUGUCUAUUUACAAUUCAUAUUCAAGGUUCGUGUGGUUAUUCUUUCCAACAAAACUAUUUCUAAGGUCCAAAAAAAAUUUCAUAUUUGAAUUUAAAUGGAAAAUUGUUAUUAAAUAAAAGAUAAUUAUAAUUUCAUAGUUCAAAUUUAAAACUCAAUAUAUUUAUUUAUCAAUUUUUUUAAAUCUAAUAUUUAAAUAUAUCAAAUGGUUUAAACCAUUUAAUCUAAAUUUAGAUUAAAUAUUUUUAAAUAUAAAAACAUUAAUUAAUUGUAUAAAUUUUCAUCAUUUAAUAAAUCUAAAGUAAACCUUAAAUCCUAAACCAUUUAAUAUAUAUAAAAUUGAUCUAUUAUCUCUUAAAUAAUUUAAACUAUCUCCUAAACCCCUAUCUCCUAAACCCUACAUCAUAAAACAUAAACCCUAAACCCCUAACCCCUAACCCUUCUUUUACAAUUAUAUAAGAACUUAAUUAAUAUAUAAAUUAAAAAAUACUAAUUAAUCUAAACCUUAAACCCUAACCCGACCUCGAAUCUCUAAACCUUAAAUCACUAACUCUUAACCUCUAACUCUAACCCCAAAUCCCAAACCCCAAACCCCUAACUACUAACCCCUAAACCUUAUUUAAUAUAUAAAUUAAAAAACACUAAUUAAUCUAAACUCUAAACCGUAACCCGAAUCCCUAACCCUUAACCCCUAAAUCACAACCCUUAAACCAGAAUCCCUAAUUCCAUAAUCUAUAAACCUUAAAAUUGCAACUCCUAAACCGGCCUUAAAUCCUAAAUUAACCAUAUACCCUAAACCAUAUAUAUUAAACCCUAAACUAUAAUGAUAAUUAAUUAAAUAUUUUAAAAUUAAUACUAUUGUAUCUUUUACAAUUAUAUAUGAAAUUAUUUAAUAUAUAAAUUAAAAAUAAAUCAGUCAUGUACCCUAAAAAUUUUUAAAUUAUUUUAAAUAAUAGUAUUUUAAUUUUUUCCAUUUUUAACAAGUAUAUUUCUAUGUUUUUUUAUUUGAAAUUAUUUCUACGUGUCAUUAUUUCAAAUUUAACCUUUUUUAAAAAAUAUUCAAUUAAAAAUAAAUUGAAUUUUAAUUAAUAUAAAUAAACAAAUUAAAUAGUAAAUAGACAGAUAAAAUGCAUUAGCGGUGCUUUUUCAAAAACGCCGCUAAAAGUCUGAGCAUUAGCGGCGCUUUUUUAAAACGCCGCUAAAAGCAUGAGCAUUAGCAGUGCUUUCUAAAAAACGCCGCUAAAAGCCUGAGCAUUAGUGGCGCUUCUUCAAAAACGCCGCUAAAAGCCCCGAAAGGUUUGGACUUAGGUUUUUAGCGGCGGUUUUCGAGAAAACGCCGCUAAUGCUCGGUCUUUAGCGGCGUUUUAUGUAAAGCGCCGCUAAUACUUAAUUUUUAGCGGCGUUUUUUGUCCAAACGCCACUAAAAACGCCGCUAAAAGCCUAUUUUGGUGUAGUGUAUGCAACCACUUUUUUUUAUUACAAUUCAUAUUCAGGGUUCGUGGUUAUUCUUUUCAACAAGACUAUUUCUAAGGUUCAAAGUUGUAUCUCUAUUUAGGUAUGCAAAAUAUCUUACCAUUAGACCAAACACUUGAAUAAAUGAAAACUGUAUAACUAUAUAUUCCACUAAAAAAGUCAUCACUUGCUUUUCUUUUAAGGGUAAAGUACAAAAAUAUCACUAAACUAUUGACUUUAUUCUAUUUUGGUCAUUCAAUUAUUAAUGUAAUAGCCCGAUUUUCAAAAAUGUCGAAAACAGUGGUACGAGACCACCAAAUUCAGAAAAUAAGCUCGUAAAUUUUAUUAUCAAUAAUUACGAGCCAAAUAUGAUUUUUAAGAGAUUUUUAAAUUAGUAAUUUGUAUUUUAUAAAAAUUUAUUAAGUCAAGAAAUUGAGAAAAAGAGGUAUCGAGACUUCGAUAUUAUAAACCGAGCCGUAAAUAUUUUUAUAAAUAUUUACGGAGUGUCAAUAUGGUAGUGUUAAAGUUUCGUCAGAAAAUUUUAAUGUUUUGGCAGUUAAUUAAUUAAAAAGGACUAAAUUAAAAAGAUGCAAAACUUGCUAAAGUGAUUAAAUAGCUUAACAAUUAAAUAAGGAAGGAUUAAAAGAGAAAAUGGACCAAUUUAGGGGCUGGAUGACAUACCGUUAAAAAAAUCUAAGAUUUUAAUGUAUUAAGGACAAAAUUGGAAUUACAAUAAAGUUUAUGUGGCCAAAUUUUAUUUUAAGCAUUUCAAGACCAUUUCUUCUUGAAAUUUCGGGGGGAGACAGCCAUGGAAGAGGGUUUGGAGCUGGUAUUCCAUAUUUUGGCUUCAAGUAAGUUUAAUUCUUGCUUUGUCCUUGAAAUUUUUAUAUUUUUAGACUUUUACAAUUAGGUCCAACUUAGUAUUCUACUAGUUUCUCAUUUUGUUGAAAGUUUUGGAAGAUACUAAUGAUAAGUUCAUAUGAUUGUUGUUAUUUUGUGAUGAAAUUGAGAUGUUAAUGGAUGUUUAAAGGUGUUUUAUUAAAGAAUUUUAGAUGAAAACAUGUUUUAGGGAUUAAAUUGAAAAGUAUUGAAAUCAUGGAGAAAUUCUAAAAUUUCAUGGAAUCUAUGGGAUUUUAUUGAUAUGUAUGAGAAAUACUAGGCUUGAAUCAAGGAUUAUAUUGCAAGAAUUUCAUUUUCCAAGCCUAGGGACGAAAUUAUCAUGUAUUAAAAGUUUAGAGUCAAAUUGGUAAUCAAUAUAUUACACUAAACAGUUUUGGGCAGCAGCAGUGGUCUGACUUUGAAAAAUCACCAAAAAUUUUGGGAAUUGAAUUAGAGGGUGAAUAAAAUAUUAAAUUAAAGCUUAUUGAGUCUAGUUUCUCAUAGAAGAAACGGUGUAAGUAAUGAAAUUGUAAAUCAUGAGAUAUAAUAGAUUUUGUGAGACAAGGUCAGAAUGAAUUCGGGUUCCCCUGUUCUGAAUUUGGAAAAUCAUUAAAAAUUGUACAAAAAUGAUUAUGAGUUAUAAUUUAUAUGAUUAGAAUCCUUAAUGAGUCUAUUUUCAGAAGAAACCAAUAUAAAUAUCAUCCAAAUUCUGUACAAUGAGAUAAUUAAUUUUUAGUGAAGAGUGGUCGGAACUGUCAGACAGCAAAACAGGGGAAACUUUAAAGAAUAAACUGUACUAUUUGGCUGAACCAAAAAUUCUGAAAAUUUUAUGGUAAGAAGGUAUGUGAGUCUAGUUUCAGGGAAAAUUAACGGAUCUUAAUUUGGAGCUCUGUAGCUCCAGAUAAAAAUAAUUUAGUGACUCUGAUUCGGAUAAACAGCUUUGAAUAUACAUGUGAGUGAAUAGUGAAAUUAUAGCUAAUGUUGUUUAAGUGUGUUAUACACAAUAAGGAUGUGGAAUGGAGAGGAGCAGGAGGAAAAUUGGGAAGUAUAUGAAUGAUUUGUGUAUAAUUGGUCAUAUGCUUGAUUAUAAUUGAUAAACGAUGAAAUAGAAAUAAUGCUUAUAUUUGUGCAUUAUUGGUUUUGGUUUAAGCUCAUGUGUGAAAAUAAAGUUUCAUAGUAUGUGUGUAUCGUAUAUUCGGUAUAUGAUUUGGCAUGAAAUAAUUUCAUGAAUGGUUUAUCAUGUGGUUAGUUCCAAAAAGAGUUAUGUUUAAAUAUACUAGCUUGUGACUAUGGUUGAAUGAUAUGUUUAUAUCUUGUGUGAUGUGCAUAGGAAACAAGUGUGGUAAGAUAAUGAAAUAGUAAGUUCAUAUGACCGAAAUUUAAUGAUUAAAUGUUAAUUUCAUGAGUUAUGUAAUGUAUGAUGAGAUAUAUUUAUUGAUGAAAUGAGAAUAAAAUAAAAAUGCGAAAAUUGAAUAAAUGAUCAAAUUGAGCGGAACGCCGGAUUUGAGUACUUCUGAUCAAGUGACAAAGUGAUAAGUGAUAAGUGGCUACACUUAUCUGAUCAAGAAACAAAGUGAUAAGUGGCUACACUUAUCUGAUCAGGGACAAGUGAUAAGUGAUCAUACGUAAGACCAUAGUUAUACUAUGGCAAAGUGAAAGUGAAGUACUCAAUUUUCCGUAACCGUUCCCUAAUUUGAUUAAGGAUGGUAAGUGACAAAUGGGCCCAAAUGAAUUAAAGUAAAUGAAUAAGUGGUAGUGUAUUUAUACCAGGAUGAUGUUGUUAUUUAAGCUAAAGUGAUAUUUUCAUUGCAAAAUUAAGAAUUUCAUAAAUGUGUUAUUGAAUGAUAUAAUCGAUAAACGUUGAGUUAAAUGGUAAAUACGUAUUAGUGUUAAACUUAGGGACAUUGAAUUGUACGUGAAUUAAAUGGAAAUUGCUAGUGAUAUGAUCUAAAUUGUGAGCAUGAGAAAUUGCGAAUUAAAUGAAAUGGAAAUGAAGCAUUGAAUUGUAUGAGUAUGUACCGGGUCUCGUAGGCCCUAAUUAUUAUGAUUAUAAUAUUUUGAGGAUAUAUUGUGAAAAGUUAUAGAAGCAUUCUAAUUAUUUUGAAAGUUUUAAUUUAGUUGAAAUUUUAUAACUCGGUUAAAUACGUUAACAAGUGUAUGUAUUUUGGUAAUGCCUCGUACCCUAUUCCGGUGUUGGAUACGGGUAAGGGGUGUUACAAUUAAUUUUUCUUAUUUAAUCACUAAGCUUUUCAAAAUUAGAUAUUUUGAUCAUUCUCAUGUUAGUUACCAUUAGAUGAGUAACGAAAAAUUGACGUGAACCUUUUUUUUUUGGUCUAAUAAUAAAUUUAACAUUCUCAUGUUUACACAUUCUAUCAAUUUGAUCUCAAAUAUAAAAAAAAUCAACAAAUUUAGCCUUUAAUGUUUGCAGAAUUUGUCAUUUUAGUUCAAAUUCUAAAAAAUUCAAUAAAUUUAGCUCUCAACAUAUACAAAAGGUCAAGUUUUGAUUUUUAAAAAUUUACCCUAAACUUUUAGUGGUCGGAUCUCUUUUGUCAAUGUCAAGUUUAUAUAUGUAAAAUAUUAUCCUAAACAUUGAGGGUUAAAUUUAUUAAAUUUUUUAAUAUUUAGGAUCAAAUUAAUAAAAUGUGUAAAUAUUAGAUAGCUAAAUUUGUUAUUAGACCAAUAAAUAAAACUUGCAUUAGCUUUCCACUACUCAUCUAACGGUAACUAAUGGGAGAGUGACUAAAAUAUUUAAUUUUGAAAAGUUUAGUUACUAAAUUGAAAAAAUUAAUAAUUGAGAGAUCAAAAUAGAUCAAAGUUAAUUGUUUAGUGACUACCCUUUUUAAAUGAGGCAAGAAUUCACCUUUUAAUACAUAACCUUCCAUGUUGCUUUUACGGUUAUUUUUUAUGCAUUUAGAAUAAUAUAAAUUUAUAUAAAAGAACAUUAAUAAGUAAUCAUUACUGAAAAUCAUUAAAAUUAUAUAAUAUUCAAAAAUAAAUAAAUUUUGAAUUAUAUCAUAAAUAUUUGAUAGUAGAAUUUUAUUUAAUUUGUAGGUGUAUAUUAAUAAUAGAUAAAAUUAAUUGUGAUUUUAAUUUAUUCAGAUUAUUAAAAUAACUAUUAAUUUUUAAAAUUAAUGUUAAAACAUUAAUUUCAAGUUUUAGCUUUAAUAUUAAAAACUAUUUUUUAACAUUUUAUAUUUCAAUUUUUUUAAAUUUAAAAUCAAAUAAAAAUAUUAUUAAUUGUAAAAAAUAGAAUGUCGAUAAUGACAAUUUAUCGCAAAGAAAAGAGAAAUAAAAAUAAAAACACACAAAUUUUACGUGGAAACCCUUUAGGGAAAAAAACCACGGGUAGAGGAAAAGAUAAUUCACUAUGUCGAAUUCGAAUAAUUACAAGAGGAAUAGACUAUGUCUAUUUAUAGGCUUGUAAAACCAUAUUCUAAUAGGAAUGUAGUAAGAUUGAAACAUGUUAUUCUAAUCAAUAUAAAAUAGAUGGAGUUUAAUAAGGUUUAAAAAUCCUUAUUCUAAAAUAAAAUAAAAGAAGUAUAGUUCUAUAGGGAUUUUACUUUUAUUUUAUUUUACUACUGUAUCUUAUUUAAAUAAGGAUUCGGGUCACUUAAUUCUAACAAUCUCCACCUUGAUACGAAUUCUCAAUGAACAAGUUCUUCAUCGCGAACUCUCAACGAACAAGUUUUCUACCUCUUCCAUAAAACCCCUUAAGGAUUUAACUUCAACAUUGAACACCAAUCAAGUCUAAGCAAUGCUCAAACUUGGUUAUAGGAAGUGACUUAGUCAUCAUAUCUGCAGGAUUUUCAUGAGUACUAAUUUUGCUCACAACAAUAUCACCACGAGCAAUAAUAUCACGAACAAAAUGAUACCGAAUAUCAAUGUGUUUUGUUCUCUCAUGAAACAUUUGAUAUUUUGUAAGGAAGAUGACACUCUGACUCUCACAAAAUACUGUAUAGAUUUGAAGGUCUUCAUUGAGUUCGCUAAAGAGUCCAUUCAACCAAAUAGCUUGUAACACCCCUUACCCAUAUUCGACACCAGAAUAGGGUACGAGGCAUUACCAGAACACAUACACUUGUAAACGUAUUGAACCGAGUUAUAAAAUUCCAUUAAUUAUUAAAACUUUAAAAUUAUUAACAUACUUUUAUAAUUCUUCACAAUAUAAAUAAUGCAACAUUUCCUACCAACCAUAAUCGAGCUUCUGAUAAUCAUCUCACUGCAUCUAAUAAUUGCAUAUAUUACCAAUAAUAAUUCAAUUUCAAUAAUAAAACACAUAUCUAUAUAAUAUUCAUCAUCAAAUAACAUUCACUUUAAUUAAAAUUAUACAGAAUAUAGUUCAUACGAACUUACCAGGCUAAAUUGUAGAAAUACCAAAAUUUAGGGACAUUUUGGUAAUUUUCUAUUUUCUCAAAUUUCCACCCAAUCUUGAUCUAAAUUAAUAUUUCAUUCAAUUUACUAAUUUAAAUACUAAAACAAUUCAUUUUAUGCAAUUUGGUCACUUUUUGACAUUUUUACAAAUUUACCCUUAAAGUUUCACAUUUGUUCAAUUUAGUCCCUGAACCUAAAACAUGUAAAUUGGUCAUUUUUAAUGAAAACUCAUGCUAGUUUAAUUAUCAUAUAUUUUCCUCCUCCUCCUCUCCAUUCCACAUCCUUAAUGUAUAUAACAUGCUUAUAGGUAACAUUAGCUAUAAUUUCACCAUUUACUUAUAUAUUCAUUCAAAGUUGUCCACUUGCGUCAUAGUCACUAAAUUAUUUAUAUCUUGAGAUACAGAACUCCAAAUUAAGAUCCGUUAAUUUUAUUUAAAACUAGACUCACAUAUCUUCUUACCAUAAAAUUUUAAGAAUUUUUGAUUUAGCGAAUAAGUACAUUUUAUUCUUUAAAGUCAUCCCUGUUCUGCUGUCUGAUAGUCCCGACCCUUCUUCAUUAAAAAUUAAUUAUAUCCUCAUAUAGAAUUAUAAUGAUGUUAACAUUUGUUUAUAUUGAAAAUAUACUCAUUAAGGAUUUAAAAAUAUAAAUUUAAGCCUCUAAUUAUUUUUCUCCAAUUUUUGAUGAUUUUCCAAAGUCAGUACAGGGAAACCCAAAAUCAUUCUGACCUUAUCUCAUAAAACCUAUUAUAUCUCAUAAUUUACAAUUACAUUUCUUACACCGUUUCUUCUAUGAGAAACUAGACUCAAUAAGAUUUAAUUUCAUAUUUUUUUCAUCCUUUAAUUCCAUUUAUACAAUUUUUGAUAGAUUUUCAAAGUCAGACUUCUGCUGCUGUCUCAAAAAUGUUUUAGUGUAAAAUGUUGAUAACUAAAGUUAUAACACUUUCCUUUCCUUUCUCUUCAAUAUUUUCCAUCACUUUCUCUUAUUUCCCUUUACUAACAUAACAAGAAUAUAGAACCUUAUAUAAUGAAACUCUACCUUAACAUUAAUUUCCUACUUUUUCAAUAAUAUCAAACUCAAAAGUAUAUAAAAAUCUUGAUGUUCUUACCUUAUGCCAUUGAUUUCAAUCUUUAACUUGAUUUUCUCCCUCCUCCAGCUUCUAUUUCUUGAAUCUAACUUGAUAUUCUAGCUCCCCAUAGUCUCCUUGUUAUCUUUCUCUCUUGAUGAAUAUGGAAAUUCUUUUGAUUUCUAAGUGAAAAUGGUGAGUUUUUGGUAAAAGGACCAAAUUGUAAAGAAAAGAAAGUUUCUCUCUUUCUUUUCUCUUCAUACGUUAGUUGCAUGGGAAAGAAGAUGAUGAUUCUUCAUCUUUUCUUCCAUAUAUAUACACUAAAUAAAAUAAUAAUAAAAUAAUAAAAUAUCAUUUAAAAAUCAAAUUAAAAUAUUAAUAAACUAAUAUUUAUUUAUUUAAUCUAAAAUAUCUUUAACAUCAUCAUUAUUUUCUAGAUUUCUCUUUCUUCUAAUUGACCAUUUUGCCCUUUAGAUCUUUUAAAAUUCCAUCCUUGAGUCAUCACUUAAUUUGGUAAAAUUACAAUUUAGUCCCUCAUAAUUCUUCAUCUAUUCAAUUUGGUCCCAAUUCAUCCAUCUUCCUUAGUUUCUAGAUUAUUCCACCCUUAAAAUAUUUACACUAUUGGUCCUUUAAAUUUUUUAUAUUUACACUUUAACCCUUCAAAUUUUACGUAUUUACUUUUGGGUAACAAAACUUUUCUCACUUUUGCAAUUUAAUCCUUUCUUGAAUUUAUAUGUCAUAAUAUACUUUCGAAUGUUGACAUAACUCAAUUACCUUUUUUUAUCACUUUAUUUCCUUGUCGGAUUUGUGAUCCCGAAAUCACUGUUCCAUCUAGACCCAAAAUCGGGCUGUUACAUAGCUUCUUUACGAGCCUUAGUAAUCGCCAUGUACUCAGCUUCAGUGGUAGACAAAGCAACUAUAGUUUGCAAAGUGGCUUUCCAACUGAUUGCACAACAUCCGAUUGUAAAGACAUAACCUGUGAGAGAUCUUCUUCUAUCAAGGUUUCCAGCAAAGUCAGCAUCAACAUACCCAAUGACUCUAUCUCUAGUUCUUCAAAUCUAUAAUCAAACAUCAGUAGUACCUCAUAAGUAUCUUAAAAUCCACUGAACUGCUUUCCAAUGUUCUUUACCGGGAUUCACCAUGUAUCUACUAACUGCACUGACUGCAUAUGAUAAAUUUGGACGUGAACAAACCAUAACAUACAUGAGAGAUCCCACUGCACUAGAGUAUGAAACAUGUGACAUGUACUCAAUCUCAUUAUCUGAUUGUGGAAACAAAGCUGAUGAAAGUCUAAAAUGGGCUGCUAAAGGAGUACUAACAGCCUUAGCAUUCUUCAUAUUGAAUCUACAAAGAACUUUCUCAAUGUACCCCUUCUGACCAAGAAGAUCAUGAUUGUAAAUUCUGAAAAGGUCCCAAUUGAGGGAGUAGUACAAUGAGUUAAGUUACAGAUCGGUCAAUGGAAAGGCAAAAAAGACUUGAAGCUCAUCUACUUGAAGUCUUAGUGUCCUAGUGAAAUACUCCCGUAAAACUAAAGUUACCAAGGUAAUUAUUGUAAAUCCUAAAAGAUAGAUAUGUAUAGAGUUUAAAACCCUUAGGACUCUCAUCUUGUAGAUAGACACUAAUCUUAGUUGAUGUAAUUCAAUCUAUACCGAUGGAUUUGGGGGGAGAUCAACUAUAAAUAGAGAUCUUCUCCCUUAUUUAUAAUCAUCUCUUUGUAUUUUGUUCUUGAAUUAAAGAAUACUUUUGAGAGCAUUUACUCAAACACGUAGUGUGUACUCUUUUUUUAUGGCUAUUCUGUUCAUUCGUGGCUUUUUUCUCUUUCAAGAUUAUUUUCGUUUUUUUUUCAGUGGCUUAAAGGAUUUUAGAAAGAAUUCUCACUUUUCAAGAGUUAGACUGACUUAGGAAGAUUUAAAUAAAAGAAAUCGCCUAAAAUUACACGGUUUUCCAGACUAGAGUUCUAGCCCUAAGACAUAUGGAGGUCUCCAUAUUGCUUUUACCGUUACUUUUUAUACAAUUAUAAAGUUAUAAAUUUAUAUAAAAACUAGUUUUUAAUAGUUGUGUGGUGCACAUUAAUAUACGUAUUGUCGAAACCAUUUUUUUGAAAAACGGGGUCGACCUUUUUUGAAAACGAAAAUUAAAACGAGAGUCGCCACCAAUCCUUUUUAUUUAAGUGUGAUCGGAUCACCUCAUAAUUUAAUUAUUUUAAUAAAAUUUUAAAUUUACUAAAACAAUAAUUUUUUUGGUCUACAAAAUCCAGAAAACGGGUUCGGGAGUCGAUUAUGCACGAGGAAGGACUAGCACCCUCGAUAUGUCCAAAAUUGGUACCAGUUGAUUACUUUAUGUCUUAAUGUCGAAAGUUAAAAUUUUAAAAAGAUUUUAAAAUACGAUCCCUUUUUUAUUAAUGUUAAUAAAACUUGAAUAAAUCGAAAAGAGAGUUAAAGACCCACUCGUCCCAAGGUAACUAAAUACCACAUCCCGUAAGUUAGGAUACGAUAUUUAGGACCUUUGAGAAUAAGCUCGCCUUUAAUUUUUAUUAAUUUUUUUUAUUUUAAAAUUUUAAAAGGAUAUUUUACUAUUUAGGUUUAACGAGGAAACCAAAACCCCGUAAGUUAGGGUACGGUUUCUCGAAUUCCCAAAAGCGCGAAAUAUUACCUUAUUAUUUUUUUUAAAAAUUUUCUUAUUACGAAUUGGAACAAGAAUUAAUGCAAUAUCUAAUAAGAUAUAUGUUUAAUUUAUUCGAAUGUAGUGUGAAAGCGAACAAAUAUAUAUAUUGUUGACACCAUUUUUUGAUAAAACGGGGUCGACUCGGGUUUUGAAAAACGAAAACGAAAACGGGAGUCGCACCAAUCCUUUUUGAUGAGGUGUGAUCGGAUCUCCUCGUAAAGUGGUUGUUUUUAAUAAAUAAUUUAAUUUUAUUAAAACAACGAUUUUGGUCUACAAAAUUUAGAAAAAUGGGUUCGGGAAUCGAUUAUGUACGAGGAAGGAUUAGCACCCCCGUAACGCCCAAAAUUGAUACCUAAUUGAUUAGUUAAGGUCUUAAUGUCAAAAAUUGAAAACUUUGAAGAAUUUUAAAAAUACGAUACUUGUAUUAAAAUGUUGAAAAUCUUCGAAAAAGUGGCAUAUUUCACGUUAAUCGAGAAAGAAAAUCAUAUCCAGUAAGUUAGGACACAAUGUUUCAAAUUCCCAAUACGCAAAUGUAUGCUAAAAAUUUGCUUAUUUAAAAGAUUAUCUCGGAUUUUAGAAAAAAGAGAUCAGGCCCAAUAAGUUAAGACUUGAUCUUUUCUUAAUUUCCGAAGUCGUUAAAGCUUGGUUUAAAAAAAAACUUGUGUUUUUAGAUUCAUCGUGAAAAUUAAAACCCAGUAAGUUAGGGUACGAUCUUCUUGAAUUUCCAAAUGCAAAAUACUGCCUUCAUUAUUUUUUAGAAAAAAUCCUCAUCUCGAGAAAACAACGUGUCAUAUCCAAUGCGUUAGGACACAACGUAUUUAGAUUCAACGAGUAAUCUCAUUUUUAUUAUUAUUUUUUAAAAGAGUAAUCUCGUUUAUUUAGAUUCAACGAAGAAAAUCGGAACCCAAUACGUUAUGGCUCGAUUCUUUCGAAGAUCCCAAAUAUCGAGUAUUACUUAUAUUUUUAAAAUUUAUUUUCUUACAAAUUUAAAGAAAAAAAUCAAUGUAAUGUUAAAAAUAACAAUAAUGAAUACGACAAUGUGGACAUAGAUAAUACGAGCAACCGCAAUAAAGAGGAAAAAAAAAGACAAAUCGAUUAAAUAUAAAAUAACAAGUAAAUAAGCAAAUAAAAUUUAAACAUUCUCUCAAAAUAAUGAUGACAAUGUAAAUAAAUAAAUGAAUAAAAAUAUGAAAAUAUAAAAAAGAUAUAUAAAUAUGUAUAUAUAUGUACGUGUUUAUGAAAAUAAAAUGGGUAUUUAGAUAUAUAUAGAUAUGUAUUAAAAUAUAUAAAAAAUAUAUAAAUGCACAUACAAAUAUAAAUAAGUUACAAAAAUAUAUGUAUGUAUGUUUAUAUAGACAUAUUAUAAAAAUGCAUGUGUAUAUAUAAAAAUUAUGAAAUGUAUGAAAAUAUACGAGUAUGUAAAUAAAUGUAUUUUGAAGCUACAAAAUAGGUAAAACAUAUGAAAUAUAAAAUAUUCACAUGAACGUAUAUUAAAAAUAUAUGUAUAUAUGUAUUUCGAAAUUAUAUAAAAAAAUGCAAAAGAUAUAUGCAUGGGUGGUAAUAUACGUGUAUAUAUAUAUAAGUAUAGAACAUAAAAAUACAAACAUGUUUGUAUGUGCAUGUAUAUAUAAUGAAGCUUGGGAUCAAAAGUAUAUAUAAAUACAUGGUGAUAAUAAUAAAUAAGAAAUACAAUAAAUAAUCAUGCAUGAACAAUAAUAUUAAAUUGAUAAAUGAGAAUAAUAAUAAUAAUAAUAAUAAUAAUAAUAAUAGAAGUAAAAAUAUAUAAAAUAAAAGUAAGUAAUAGUAACAACAGUAUUAAACAUAAUGAUAAUAGUAAAAAUAAUGAUAACAUUAUUAAAAUUAAUUAAUAGCAACAAUAGACAGAAGAGGGACUAAUUUGAACUUAAGACAGAACUUCGGGGGAGAAAUCCAUAAAUAAAUAAGGGAGAGGACCCUCUGAACACGGGUGUAUUGUGGGGGGACUAAAAUAAAAAUUUUCCCUCUCCCCCAAAACGGUGCAGUUCAAUCAAGGACCAAAAUGAAAUAGCAAUAAAAUAUGGGGUGCAAUUUUAAAAGACCAAAGAGACUUGAUUGCAAAGUAUAGAAAAAGAGGAGGGGCUAAAACGACAAAUAACCCAACGCUCGAAACGCGCGGAUCCUGGGGUGAAACGACAUCGUUUUAGGGCUACUGUGGUCAGCCCGAAACGACGUCGUUUAGUCCGUCUAUAUAACUCAAAAUUUUUUUAAAAAAAACUUCAGUUCUUUGCUCUUCAGAAAAAAAAUGAGAGUUUUUCUCUCAAAAGCCCCUCUCCCCCGGUCCUAGCUCCGACCGAUAGUCACCUUGCCGGACCCCGGUCGCUGGCGCCAGCGCCACCGCGCACGGUGGCCGGCGAAGGUAAUAAGGGUGUUUUUUAUAUCUCGCCCCCCUAAGCCCAAAUCUGGCCUUAAAAUGCCCAAAAAGCAAAAGAAAAAGGACCACCAGCCUUCUCAACGACCGAUUCUGUCACCGGAGACGAAGCCUCUGACGACAAGGACACGGAACGACUCCGGUGAGUUCCUCUUCCCCUUUCUUUUUGUUUUAUUUUAGUAUAUAAAAACGAAAGCAAAAAAAGAAAAAAUAUCAGUAAACAAAUAUUAUGAAAACUUCAAAGUUUCUUUUCUUUUAUUUCCGAUUUUAUUGUAUCAUCCCCCCCGAAGAGAGAGCUUUACAAUUGGUUUUUGCUUGGCUUUUAUAGCUAUUUUUGUUACAAUAUUUUUGCUUUUGUUGUUACUAUUUGCCACUGUUUCGUUUCUGCUUUGCGUGUUUCCUCUAGUUUACAGGGUUGCUGGAGCAGGUGGGCAGAGGGCAGGUGCGGCGCUGGAUGUGACGGAGGCACAGAAGACCGAGGGUCAGAAGACCCUAGGUGCGGCGCCUAGGGUUCUUUUGUUUUCUGCUAGGGCUUUUCAUUGUAAUGGGUUUUGGGCUUAUUUGUUUUCUCUGGUGGACCGGGCAAAUUUGGGCUUCUACAUAUAUAUUUUAAAAACGUAAUGUAUAAUACGAUAAUAACGAAAUAAUGGAAGAUAACUAUAUGAGUAAAAUAUUUAAAAGGUAAAUAACAAGUAAUGGAAUACAAUAAUAAUGAUGAUGUGAUUAUAAUAACACCAAAUAAUAACAAUAAUCAUAUUAACUAUUAUUCUAAUGCUAAAACAAUAGAAAUGAAUUAAACAUUAAUAAUGAUGAUAAUGAAAUAAUAAUGAAAUGUGUAAGUAAAGAAGUAAACAACACUAUAAAUUCUAAUUACAAGAAAAAUAAAAAUAAAAUAAAAAAUAUACGAAUGAAUAUGCGAAUAAAUAAAUAAAACAAAAAAGAGUAAAUAAAUAAUAAAAGCUUGAAAUUAAACAACGAAGGAUUAAAUUGGGAUUAAAAUAAAAUUUAGAGUCAAAAUUAUGAUGAAAUAGGUGAAUAAACAUAAAAGGGACUAAAUCGGAGCUUGAAUGGGAUUUAAAGGCAUAAAUUACAAAUAAAAAAGGGAGAAGGGGCAAACUAAAACGAGCUGAAAAAGGGUGAGGACUAGAUGGGAAAUUAUUCCUAGUCCUUUGGAGCGCACCGUUUCAAUUUGGACCGAAAUGAAUAAAAAUGAAAUUAUGCCGCAAAAUGUAAGAAAGAAAAAAAGUUUAGGACUAAAUUGCAAAGUCGCGAAAAAGAGGAAGGGCCAUAUGCGAAAUUACCCCUUCAACGCAGAAACACGCGGAUCUUGAGGGCCAACAGGUUGGUUUUCGGGUCUGCGGCCAAAACGAUGUCAUUUUGGCCUCUAGGCUCACUCCUCAAAACGGCGUCGUUUCAUGUCUUUACUUAAACUAAUUUUUUUUCUCAAAAUUUCAUUUUUUUUCAAUGUUUAAAAAAAACUUCAAAAACCUCCCAUCUCUCUCAAAAAACUCUCCCCCCAUUCGGCCGAUGGUCUCCCUCGACCUCCGUCGCGCCACCGCUGUGGCCAGCAACCGGCACUGGAAAAAUGGGCCCCUUAGCCCUUGUUGUACGGCGUCCUUGAGAGCUAAGCUCUCUCAACCCGCGAGGAUAAAAAAAAAACAGGGGAGACUCUCGACGCCUUCGGACCCGAAUUGGGUGAUGAAGGAGAAGCCCUCUGACAGCGCGGCCACGGUCGUCUCCGGUGAGUCUCCUUUUCCCCCUUUUUUAUUUUUAUUACUUAGUAUGUAAAAAAUAACAAUAAAGUAAAAAGGAUAAAUAAUGAGAAUUGAACUUGAAAGUAAAAAGAAAAUCACCUCUCAAAUAUGUUCUGUUUUCGUUUUUUUUAAUGUUCGUAAAAAAGAAAAAAAUUACAGAGAUAAAAUUCGGCUUUUAUAGCCGAUUUGAAAAACCCCUAGUUUUCUAUUUUUUUGUCGUUUUGCAAUUUGGCUUUUUCUUUCUGUUGCGUGUUCAUUUGUUUUGCAGGUGUCAGACGCGUGAGGAGGCGUGCGGCGGCCAGGGGCAAAAGACCUAAGUGCGGUGCACCUAGGGUUGGCAAUCUUUUGUUUUCUUUCUGUUAAGGGUAUUGGGUUAGGGUUAGGCAUUUUUGUAUUGGGCUUAAGUCUAAUGAAUUGGGUUUAAUGUUUUCAUUUUGGUGUUUGGUUUUGUUUGGGCCAUAUUGGGCCCCAAGCAAAAAUGGGCUUGUACACGUAUUUAUAUUUUUAUUCUUUAAUAAAUUGUUUUAUUUCAUAUACUUGCUACAAGUAAUUAUUACUGAAAAUUAUUAAAAUAUAUAAUUUUAAAAAAUAAAUUAAUUUUAAAUUAUACUAUAAGUAAUUGAUAUUAGAAUUUGAUUUUAUUUGUAUGUGUGCAGUGUGCACUAAUAAUAGAUAAAUUAAUUGUGAUUUAAAUUUAUUGAAAUUAUUGAAAUAACUACUAAUUUUUAAAAUUAACGUUAAAACAUUAAUUUCAAAUUUUAGUUUUAAUAUUAAGUGGGUAUUUUUUAACAUUUCAUAUUUCAAUUUUUUUUCUAAUUUAAAAUCAAAUAACAAUAUUAUUAAUUAAAAAAUGAAUUCAAAUUGUAUCAAAUAUAAUUAAAUUAAACUUUAUGAAUCUUGUUCAAAAUCAAUUUAUCUAAGUGGGAAGAGAUUAUCAUAACAUAUUUUUCAAUAAAACAACAAUUGAGAUUGAAUCAUAUAAUUGUAUUAUAAAAAUAUUAUGGAAUAAAUUAAACACUAAUUAGAAAACUUAAACUUUCUAAAAAUAAUUAAAAUAAAAUUAUAUUUAGAAAAAAAAUUAAAAAAUCUAAAUUCCUUAAAAAUUAAAAUAAAAUCUAAUUUAAAAAUAAAUACUUAAAUAUUAGUAAUAUAUUUAAAUUUUCUAUAUUAAUCUUUUUCUUCAAUUGAUUUCUUUUAGACAAAUCUAAUUUAUCAAUGCCAAUAACCUUUUUAUUUUUUUAUGUGAUUAUGGAAAUCACUAUGAUAAUUGAAUUCAACCAAAUCACAAGACAUGUUAGGUUUAUAGAAUCAAAAGUGUAAAUAAAUAUUAUAUAUGGAUAUAAAAAACAAAAUUGAGAAAAUAAAACCUAUCAUCCAUUCUAAAAAUAGUUUUGAUCCCGUCACCUUUAAGCCUCGUUUAAUGCCCAUGGAGUUGCAUGAAUAAUGUUGGUGUAAUUUAAAUGUUAUUGUUUGAAAAUACUUAAUAUUGAAUGCUAUUUAUAAUUGUAACUUUUAAUUUUAAUUAGGAUAUGGAGAUGUCAUUAAUUUAACAAUAAGUAAUUAAAAAUGAUAUCAUUUACGGAUCAAGAAAUCAUAGGAGGGAUGGCUAGAAAAUAAUUAAACUAAAAAAAAAAAAAGGAAAAAGAAAAAAGCUUAUCAGCCUUUGUUGAUAAGGAAAAUUUGCCACAAACUUGAACAAGUAGAUUAAUUUGUCUCAUUCUAAGAACACACCUGGUUCGUUUGUGAAGUAAAAACACUUCCAAGAUCCCCAGCACCUAUGGUCAACAACCAAACCCCACAAUCAGUCCUAAUUCCUAGUUAACUUGAAAUCAAAAUAUUGACAAUGAUUCGUUCAAUCCAUUCGUCACCUACCUUCAAAACCGAGCAACCCCCAACUAUGGAUCCGAACGAGAUAGGUCACCACUCUCACAAUUCGUUACUGACAAAUCUGAAAGACCCAAUAAGACAACAAUUCACAUCUUCAUAGCUUAAAAGAAUAGAAAAGCUUCCCUUAAUUCACCAAACACAAUCACCUUACCUACUAAACGAGUGACGACAUAACCAGACCGCUCCUAUGCUAACCGAAUCGUUCUGGCCCUUAACCUUCAACAAUGAAACAGUCGACCUAUCACCAAAAAUCCAUAAACUAAAUAACACCACAGUUACAAAACUUACAACCAACGCGCAAAGACAAAACGGAGAUGACAAAUUGCGGCAACAAGAAUUUUAGAAGGAAAUGGACUACUAGAAAAAUCAAAGUAGGGAGAGAAUGAAAUUUUAGCAGUAGUCAACAACAAAUAAAAAGAUGAGAAAAGAAAGGCCAAGGGCACAAUUCGUAGAGAGAAUAAUAGCUAGGUAAAAAAAUAAAGGAGGAAAAACAGUUGGCUGCAAAGGAGAGAUAAGAAUCGGCAAAGAAAAUGAAGGGGAAGGAUAAAAAGAGAAGAUUCGACUAAGGGAGGAGGAGGAGGUUUGUUCACCUUUUUCUCUGAAAAGUAAAAAUUUGGGAAGCACAGAAUUCCACUCAAUCACCACUACCCCCUAAAUCCCUUGAUUAACUCCCCCUAUCCCUAAUUUCACUCCCCAACCGUCCACUACAAUCCCCUCAACCACCAAAUUCAAAUCCCACUCAAACUCUUCGGUCAAACUACAACACCCUCACGGCACAAGCAGUAAAAAUAAAUCCCAUGUUUGCACAAAGACUUGAACUCCAAACCUUCUACUUAAUUACACUCCACUUAACCACCAGACCAGUAAACCCAUUUUUACAUAUUUUACCAAUAUUUAUUUAUAAGCCUACUGACUAGAGAUAGAUGUUUAAUCAUUUAAAAACAAAAAAUUUGACCAAGCUAAUGCUUGAACUUGGGACCUCUCAAACACUCCCAGAACACAUAAUCAUAAAAACUAAUAGAUAUUUAUUUUACAAACAUACGAAAAUAAAUAUAUAAGGGAUUUUUGGGGCAUUACAAAUUUUGAAUAAAUAAUAAUAUAUCUAAUUAAUUAACAUAAAUAUCUAAGAUUUUUAUACACAUUGAUGGUCUCAUUUAAUGGAAUAGGCUUAAUUGCCUAUUUAGUCCCUAUUAUUUUCUUUUAAUCUAUAAUUAAACUUUUACACCUUAUUCUAUUUAGUCCUUUUUCCUAAUUUCUCCUACUUAAACUAAAUUCAUCCAAUUAAAACUUAAUCGGACACAUUACUAGACUCAUAAUUACUUCUAAUAAUUAUUUACGGACUAGGUUUACUAAGACGGAGGCCCGAUAUUGUACUUGUUCGAUGCCCGUGAAUUUUGGAUCAUUACAUCUUGUAGAUAGACACUAAUCUUAGUUGAUGUAAUUCAAUCUAUACCGAUGGAUUUGGGGGGAGAUCAACUAUAAAUAGAAAUCUUCUCCCUCAUUUGUAAUAAUCUCUUUGUAUUUCGUUCUUGAGUUAAAGAAUACUUUUGAGAGCAUUUACUCAAACACGUAGUGUGUGCUCUUUUUCUAUGGCUUUUUUCUCUUUCGAGAUUGCUUUUGUUUUGUUUUCGGUGACUUAAAGGAUUUUAGAAAAAAUUCUCACUUUUCAAGAGUUAGAUUUGACUUAGGAAGAUUUAAAUCAAAUAAAUCACCUAAAACUACACACUUUUCUAGACUAAAGUUCUAACCCCAUGACAAUAGUACAGAGGUCUCCAUAUUGCUUUUACCGUUACUUUUUAUACAAUUAUAAAGUUAUAAAUUUAUAUAAAACUAGUUUUUAAUAGUUGUGCGGUGCACAUUAAUAUACGUAUUUAUAUUUUUAUUCUUUAAUAAAUUAUUUUAUUUCAUAUACUUACUACAAGUAAUUAUUACUGAAAAUUAUUAAAAUAUAUAAUUUUAAAAAAUAAAUAAAUUUUAAAUUAUACUAUAAGUAAUUGAUAUUAGAAUUUGAUUUUACUUGUAUGUGUGCACUAAUAAUAGAUAAAUUAAUUGUGAUUUAAAUUUAUUGAAAUUAUUGAAAUAACUACUAAUUUUUAAAAUUAAUGUUAAAACAUUAAUUUCAAUUUUUAGUUUUAAUAUUAAAAGGGUAUUUUUUUAACAUUUUAUAUUUCAAAUAUUCUUUUCUAAUUUAAAAUCAAAUAACAAUAUUAUUAAUUAAAAAGUGAAUUCAAAUGGUAUCAAAUUUAAUUAAAUUAAAAAGAGAUUAUCAUAACAUAUUUUUCAAUAAAACAACAAUUGAGAUUGAAUCAUAUAAUUGUAUUAUAAAAAUGAAAUAAAUUAAACACUAAUUAGAAAACUUAAACUUUCUAAAAAUAAUUAAAAUAAAAUUAUAUUUAGAAAAAAAAUUUAAAAUCUAAAUUCCUUAAAAAGUAAAAUAAAAUCUAAUCUUAAAAAAAACUUAAAUAUUAGUAAUAUAUUUAAAUUUUCUAUAUUAAUCUUUUUCCUCAAUUGAUUUUGUUUAGACAAAUCUAAUUUAUCAAUGCCAAUAGCCUUUUUUCUUAUGGAAAUCACUAUAAUAAUUGAAUUCAACCAAAUCACAAGACAUGUUAGGUUUAUGGCUUAAAUUAUAGAAUCAAAAGUGUAAAUAAAUAUUAUAUUGUAUAUGGAUAUAAAAAAACAAAAUUGAGAAAAUAAAACCUAUAUAUCCAUUCUAAAAAUAGUUUUGAUCCCGUCACCUUUAAGCCUCGUUUAAUGCUCAUGGAGUUGCAUGAAUAAUGUUGAUGUAAUUUAAAUGUUAUUGUUUGAAAAUACAUAAUAUUGAAUGUUAUUUAUAAUUGUAACUUUUAAUUUUAUUUAGGAUAUGGAGAUAUCAUUAAUUUAAUAAUAAGUAAUUAAAAAUGAUAUCAUUUACGGAUCAAGAAAUCAUAGGAGGGAUGGCUAGAAAAUAAUUAAACUUAAAAAAAGGAAAAUGGAAAAAAGCUUAGCAGCCUUUGUUGAUAAGGAAAAUUUGCCACAAACAUGAACAACUACAUUAAUUCGUCCCACUCUAAGAUUGUAAAAUUAUAAGAGUCAAGGUUGCUCGUGACUAAAUAAAGAAACUUGCUUAGAUAAGAGAAGAUAAGAAUUGCAAUAAACAAAUUCUGAAAUUUAGAACAUUCAACAUAUAUCAUGUUGUUUCAUUACUUUGAAAGGAUAUUUUUAUAAGAAAUUAGAACAUCCCCUAAGCAUAGGUAAUAAGUACAUAUAUUAGUGGUUACAUUAAUGACCAAAUACAUGCAUCUAAUCUUAUAUACAUGCAUAAUCACAAAGUGUAUGCUUGUGUUAUGGGGCUAAAACUUUAGUCGGGCAAACUGCAUUGCCUUAUAUACAUGCAUCAUAUCAACAUAAAGAACACUUAGAUUCACACAUAUGUUGUCACGCUAAUAUCAUUAAAACAAUUUCAUUUAAAAAAACAAAUUGACAGUUUUUAAAGGAUUAAUAACCAAAUUUAAUUUAAAAUAAAAAAUAAAAACCAAAUUAAUAAAUAUAUAUAGAUUUUAAGAAAUAAAUUUAUCAUAAUACUUUUUAUGUCUACAAUUCUUUCAUGGGUAUGCUUAUAUUACUUUUUGUGUAGUGUCUUGUUUUACAUAGUUUAUAAUUGUCCCAACGAAUUUAAUUUAGAAUUUCUUUUUUUUUUGUUUAUACUGUGUGUUGUGUCAAUUUAUUUAUUUAAAAUGUUUCUUUUAUGUUCUAUAUUUUUUUUUCAUUUGUAAGCUAUUAUAAGAUUAUAUAUUUAUUUAUACAUUAAUAAUUUUUCUUAUGUAAAAUUUUGUACGUUCACAUAUUUUUAUCGUAUUUAUUUUAUUUUCCAUGACACGAUAUUUUUAAUUAUUUUUAAUACUUUUAUAUCAUGUUUUAAUUCGACAAUGUUCCUAGUUUUAUCAAAAUAAUUCAAUUUUAUUCUAAAUCCAUCUAUUUAACAAUUGAGUUAUUACAGAUGUCAUAUAUUUAUACAAUUAUGCUGUUAAAAAACUUAAUCCUAUUUCAUGAAGCAUAGGGAUCAGUAGGUACUUUCCAGUUCUUAUAAAUUAUGGACCAUAUUAUUUAACAUUAAAUUUAUUUUUAAAUAUUUUAAAAAUGGUGAAUAUAGGAUCUUUGUACUAAUAAAAAAAUAAAUAAUAUCCAAUUAUAAUAACAUUAAUAUUUAUUUUUUAUAUGAAUUUUUUUUCAUUUGCAGUUAUACUUCCAACAACAUACUUCAUUUACAAAAUAAAAAAAAUUAAAAAUAUAAUUUUAUUAAACAAUAAGUCUAACAUUGAUAGCUGGAUUUCUAAGGGUAAUUUACUAAUAAAAGCCCAUUUUUUGCAAAAAUUGCCGAAAUGGGCCCAUUAUUUAAUUAUUUAUCGGAAUGGUCCAUUUUCCGGCAAAUCGCGUCCACGUCAGCGCGAUGUUAGGGGAUGCAUCAUCAGGAAAUCGCGGCCACGUCAGCGCGAGAUGCUGACAUGGCAACAAAUCGCUUCCUCAAGGACGCGAUUUGCUGUCACGUCAGCAUCUCGCGCUGACAUGGCCGCGAUUUCCCCGCGCGUGAACAGUGCCCCAACGGUAAAAAAAAACUAUAAAUACCCCCACCCCUUUUUAUUUUUUUACAAACUAAUCCUCUCUCAUAUUUCCUCUCAAUUUCCUCUAAAUUUCCUUCUAAAAUUCUCUCAAAUCCAUAUUUAAUUUCAAUUUCCUCUCAAUUUCCUUCCAAAAUUCUCUCAAAUCCAUAUUUAAUUUCAAUUUGCUUUCAAUUUCCUUUUUAAAAAUAAUUUUAAAAUUUUUUAUAUUUUUAAAAAUCAUAAAAAUUUGUACGAUUUCAUCAAUAGCCGAAUCAUUGACUCGUCUUGAUAAGCAUCACAUAUCGGUGGAACAAAUGAAAAUGGUAAGUGUUAAAUUCAAUUUUUAAAUAUUAUUUAAGAAAUUUUUAUUUAUGAAUUUUUAGAUAAUUAUUAAUUUAUUAUUUGUUAUAAAAGUCUGUAGAUCGGGUAUUGGAAUGCAAUAUCCGAAAUAUGCAUGGUCCUCCAUCACCGUUGGUAGAGAACUACCUGCGGGAAGCGGGUUUUUGGCACGUGGCGACUGUAGGCCGGGGAUGCAAGUUGUACCCGAAACUAAUUAGUGCGUUGAUCGAGAAGCGGAGACCCGAGACGCACACAUUCCAUCUUCCAUGAGGAGAGUGCACUAUCACUCUAGAAGAUGUGAGUCUGCAAUUGGGAUUGCCGGUGGAGGGGCACCCAGUCAUCGGGUCUUGCCAAUCUAGCAAUUGGGAGGCGGUGUGCUACGAGCUUUUGGGUGCUAUUCCGGAUAAAAUGGAGGGAGGUAAAAUCGAGAUGGGCUGGUUACCUGACACAUUCCCUGAUCCGGAUGAAGAUUCAACCGAAAUUGAAAGAAUCCGAUAUGCUCGGGCAUACAUUCUUCAAUUAAUUGGAGGUUAUCUGAUGGCCGACACGUCACAGAGCCGCGUACAUCUAAGAUGGCUGCUGAAACUCGUUGAUUUUAGAGCAGCCGGUGAACUCAGUUGGGGGUCUGCUGUCUUGGCAACAUUGUAUCAGGAGAUGUGCAGGGCGAAGCGACCGAGGAGAGUGAAAAUCGGAGGUUGUCUGUCACUACUGCAGUCAUGGGCACGGUUUCGCUUUCUAUUUCUACGUCCUCGAGUGGACCACCCAUAUACAUUCCACUCAUAACGAGGUAAAUUUUAUAUUAGAUUUUACAAUUAUUAUGUAGAUUUUUAAAAAUAAAAGUAUGCUAAAAAUUUAUUUAAUUAAGUGGAACCAUUCGGUAAGUUAUUCUCGAUUACCUAGCUCUCUUGAAGAUAUACGGCUUCUAUUGGACCAACGGUCGAAAGCACAAGUGAGUAUGAAAUAAAAUAGAUAUUUCCAUACAUUCGCUAGUCGAUUAGUAUUUAGUAUUUAGUAUUAUUAUGUAUAUAACUAAUAUUUCUAUCAUGUUCAUAUAGUUUGAAUGGACACUAUACGAGGAUCCGGCAAUUCGGGCAGUAAUUCUGGAAGAGUUCUUACAAAAUCCGAACGCCUGGCAUGUGAAAGUCGUGUUGAUCAACUACGCAACCGUGGAGCCGCACCAGUCAGACAGAGUGCUACGACAGUUUGGAUGUAGACAACCGAUUCCUGUGGAUCCUGAGGAGUUUGACGAUCAACACAAAGUCGACCUUCGGUAAUUGAAUACGGAUUGACAGAGAUACUGGUCCGAGUACAUGGAAAUAUGGGAAGAUUGGCAUGAAUAUAUACCUACUCGGGAACCAAUCAUUGUUCCGGAGUUAGCGUGCGUUCCAGAAUACAUGCCAUGAUUUAGGAUCCCUGGCAAGCCGUAUUUACUGACACCAAAGGAGAGGUAGCGGUAAAUACAUGUCGAAAGGGAAAGGCGCGGGCCUCUAAAUCCAAGACGACAAGACGACGAAGGUAGCCCUUCAACGAGGCCCAGACAUUCACCCGACUCAUCAUCAGCUGCCAUGCAAUCACCAGGCCCAACGAGAGCACCGACACAGUCACCCAAUGCAGCAGUUCAACCGAUGAUACCCACGCAACCGCCUUUUCAUAUGAUGUCAGGUGCGUUUCCUAGCCCUUAUAUGUAUCCUAACCCUUAUAUCUAUCCUUUUUCGAGUCCUAUGGUAGGUUGGAGUCAAAUGCCCGGUUCAACUCUAUUUCUUAUUAUGCCGAGUGGACCGCCGAUGUAUAGGCCAGCGGUGCACGAGGGAUCACAAGAGGGACCGUCGGGGAGCCCUCUUUUUUACCAAUCCCCAGCAACGUAUGGGUUUCAGACACCGUCGCCGUUCGUGAUGCAAACACCUCCACAUACACUAUUCUUUGAAGGUGGAUCAUUGUCCCAAGUCUGACAACCAGAUGCCGUACCGGAACAACCAGAAUCCCCGCCGGAAGAACAACAAUCGCCGCCGGAAGAACAACAACCGCCGCCGGAAGCCAGAGAAAGGAGGAAUCCAGCGUGUAACCGUCGACGGCCGCCAUGUGGCACUGAAUCCCCCGGGCAUAGACAUUGAUUAAAUGUAUUUAAAAUUAUUUGUAUAAAUAUUUUGAAUAUUUUGAUAUUAUUUGAUGUAAUAAAAUAGAAGUUCAUUUGAUGUAAUAAAAUAAAAAAAAUUUUGAGUUAUUUUGAUAUUAUUUGAUGUAAUAAAAUAGAAGUUUAUUUGAUGUAAUAAAAUAGAAAUUUUUGAAUAUUUUGAAAAUUUUAAUUAUGUUAUUUGAGAAUUCUACUAACCAUUAAUAACCUAAUUAAAUUGAAAACCCUAACCUAAUUAAAUUGAAAACCCUAACCCUAAUUAAAUUGAAAACUCUAACCUAAUUAAAUUGAAAACUCUACCUUAAUUAAAUUGAAAACCCUAAACCUAAUUAAAUUGAAAACCCUAACCCUAAUUAAAUUGAAAACCCUAACCUAAUUAAAUUGAAAGCCCUAAACCUAAUUAAAUUAAAAACCCUAACUCUAAUUAAAUUGAAAACCCUAAUCUAAUUAAAUUGAAAACCCUAACCCUAAUUAAAUUGAAAACCCUAACCUAAUUAAAUUGCUCUAACCCUUAACAUUCACAUAAUGUUAGAUUUGGAAAAAUGUUUUUUCCUGGUACUAACAAUUAAUAAUUUCAUAUAAUUUGAUAAUUUUACUAACCAUUAAUACAAUUUUUUGAGUUAUUAAUUUUACAUUCACAUAAUGUUAUAUUUGGAAAAAUGUUUUGACUGGUACUAACAAUUAAUAAUUUUAUAUAAUUUAAUAAUUUUACUAACCAUUAAUACAAUUUAUCAAUUACUAAUUUUACAAAUAUAAUUUUGUUACAAUUACAUUCAACUAUUGCGAUUAGGGCAUGAUCGACUUGUAUGGCCUGGAUUCCUACACCAUCCGCACAACUUCGUUUGACUGGCUGUUUCUCAGAUAUCCAUAUUGUUACGUAUUCUAGUUGAGUAAGGUCGACCCUUUGGUUUACGACGUAAUUCUCUAUCCGGUAACAGCUUAAAAGGAGCAAGAGAUACAGGCGGCCACUUACGUUCAUCUGGGACCGGUGGGAAAAUGUGUCUCCAUACGCUGUACAUGUUUUCUAAUUUGUACACUUCGUCCACAUACCUCAUCGGAUCCAGACGGAGAUCCUGACAAGCUGUAAUGACAUGAGCGCAUGGAUAACGAAGUGCAUCAAACAUCCCACAGUCACAAGUCCUGUUUCGUAAGUGUACACGAUAUUGCCCGCCAACAACACCUUCGUGUUGUCUGUCAAACUCUGUCACACGAAACCAUAAAUUUCCUCGAUCGUGACACACUGUGUACAUGGUGUUUGCCCUCGCCUUGGCCUUGUUAAUUUCUUGAACUACCUUACUGCACCAUACAUGGCCUCCCUGCAUCUGGCCUACAUAACUUGCUGCUCGCUUUGGAAAUAGCGCCGCCAAACGAAAAUAUGUCUCUCGCACAACCGAUGUUAUCGGUAGAUGGCGCGUUCCUUUAAGAACAGAAUUUAUUCAUUCAGCCAGGUUCGACGUCAUAUGGCCAUAUCGUAGGCCUUUGUCGUAUGCUUGUGCCCACUGUUCGAAACGUAUGUUACAAAGGUAGUCCUCCCCUUCUACGUUAAUUAAACGUAAAAUUACCAACAUCUCGUGAAAACGGUCUUUAUUUAUUUCAUACCCUGCCAAUAUAAGAUCAUAGCGAAUAAUUUAUACCACUUCUACCAAUAAAACUAAUUCAAAUUGACAAACAAAAUAACACAUAUAUAGAUUAAAUACUCAUGUUGGUCACUUGUCGUCGUUCGCUCUUAGAUGUAUAUUUCCUGUAGUAGUUCGAAGCAAUGUGUCUUAGGCAAUAUCUAUGGUGUGUGCGCUGCCAUAAGCUUCUCUGUCGAUCAAAUGUAGCUAGUAUACCGGUGCCCCGAUCUGAAAUAACACAGAUAUCAUGUUGGGGGCAUACAUGCCUCCUUAACCUAGACAGAAACAAAUUCCAGUCAUCAGACGACUCCCCUAGUGUUAUUGCAAAUGCAAUUGGAAGAAUUCUCCCACCGCCAUCCUAUGCCACUGCAAGCAAUAACCGAUGAGUAUACCUACUGAACAUAAAGGUACCGUCAAUUUGUACUAACGGCUUGCAGUAUGAAAAUGCGUCUCGGCAUUGCUUAAAGGUCCAAAAUCGGCGUUUGAACACUUUUUGUCCACGUAGCAAUCGGUCAUUGUAGUUCGCAUCUUCCGUUUCAAGGUCUGUGAUGGCACCUGGGACGUAUCUCUCUAGCACCUGACACCACUGCCAUAUUUCAUUAUAUGAGGCGUCCCACCCACUAUGCAUCUUCUCCAACGCCUUUUGCUUAACUAUCCAAGCCUUGCGGUAAGAGGGCGUGUACCCCAUUUGGCAACGGAUACUGGCAAUUAACACCGGCACUGAAGUCUUGGGAUCUACUUUUACCGUGGGCAGUAUCAAGCUAGCUAACAUAGCUAAAUCCAUCUUGGGAUGAUCUUGUAAAACACCUAUUAACGGAGUACAUUAAAUAAUGCAACAUUACAUAAUAAAAGUAUUCUUCAGAUACCGUCAAUACUGUACCUGCAGCACAUGUAUGUGGACCUUUGUACUUUUUUAUCUCCCACAACCCUGUCCUUUUCCUUAACGAGACGUAGAUUUUCCAUGAACAUGUGCCGUCUUGCACCACACACUUCGCCUCGAACUUAUCAGAUUUGGAUUUAACGACGUGGUAGUUAACGCCGUUUUUGAUGCUAUGUUGUUUCAAAGCACCAAUAAAACUAUCCUUGUUGGUAAACUGAUUACCAACUUCAAAUUCACCGGAAUCUACCCUCGAACUUGUACGACCACGCAACCGAUGUGGUAGAUCUGGAAACUCUAGCGCAUCAUCUGCAGACAGAUCGACAUUAUGCAAGUGGGUUGGAGGUGAGUAUGCUCUGAAUCGUGGAUUUUCUUCUUCGUCUGAACUCCUUUCACCAUCUUCAGAUUCUGUUGAAAUAGGCUCCGGUUCAGAAAAUAAGCCAACUUCUACACCAUCCGGCCCGGGCUCUCGAGGUGGAUCCACAUCGGAGUCAUCUUCUAACCCACAAUCAUCUACAUCGUACGAGGUCCCCUCACCGGUUGACGUCGUAGGGAGUAUGUCAUCCCUUCUUCUCAGCAUUUGAUAACGUCCCCAAUUGGAUGGAGAUUGCCACCCACUAGAACUUGAUGUCGUUCCCCGGUACGUAUUUCUAGCAUCAAACGUCGAGCCACCGACGUACAUGUCUCAUCCACUGACAGAGUGUCUUGCAGGGGAUGUGCAUUCGACAUUGCCACCGAACAUGGGCUAUUCCGUAUUUUAUAACCCGCUAAUCGAGUGUUGGCCAGGGGUCGUGUAUACAUCUCGAACACCGGUCGUAGGUACAUCAGUUGGCGAUGUAAAUUGUACAUAUAACUCAAUAUAAGGUGCUCUACUAGCAAGAUGAGUCUGCACCAUUGCCUCCAAGCUACGAGCACCUUUUAUGCCGAACGAGUCAUAUGUCAUCGGAUCAACAGAAGAACAAAAUCGAUACGUGAUUGACAGAAAUUUCAUUGGUGUCGUUCUGAAAAUUUUACGCCUAAUUCUUUUACGAAGUUCUGUCAAAUCUAUGUUUUGGUUAAAAAUCAGUCGCACCGUAUUCUCCGACAAAAAAAUAACACCAUUCUCGGUGUGGCAAACCUCACUAUCGUAGUAAAUAACAGCACUAAUACGUUCACUCAUAUUUGAAACUCUAACCUUCUUAGCCUCACUAUAUUGAGAGGAAAUUGAAAUUAAAUAUGGAUUUGAGAGAAUUUUGGAAGGAAAUUUAGAGGAAAUUUAGAGGAAAUUGAGAGGAAAUAUGAAAGAGGAUUAGUUUGUGAAAAAAUAAAAAGGGGUGUGGGGGUAUUUAUAGUUUUUUUGACCGUUGGGGGGCAACGGUCAAAUUUUUGACCGUUGGGGCACUGUUCACGCGCGGGGAAAUCGCGGCCACGUCAACGCGAGAUGCUGACGUGGCAGCAAAUCGCGUCCUUGAGGAAGCGAUUUGUUUCCAUGUCAACAUCUCGCGCUGAUGUGGCCACGAUUUCCUGACGCGUCCCCUGACAUCGCGCUGACGUGGACGCGAUUUGCCGGAAAAUGGACCAUUCCGAUAAAUAAUUAAAUAAUGGGCCCAUUUCAAUAAUUUUUGUAAAAAAUGGGCUUUUUUGUGUAAAUUGUCUGAUUUCUAAAGCUGCAGUUUUUGACAUUGAAUGAAACUCAAACAGAGAAAAAUACAUCUUACAGGAAAAGGAAAGAAAAAAUAGAUGAUGUACAACUAAGGAAAGAAACUGACAGAGGGUGGCCCUACAUCAUGAUAAGGAUGAUAGGCACCCAAACCGUAAGCUUUACUACAAAACGCCAAAAAUACAGGGAGUAAAAUCAAAACUCUUGACAAAAGGGAAUGGAAUUGGCAAUGGAAACACAAAACAGAAAGUAAAGUCAAAACUCUUGACAAAAGGGAUGAUGGAAUUGGCGAUGGAAACAUAAAAUAGAACAGCAACACCUUAAGUCCCCUGCAUCAUUCUCUCAACAUAAACCAAAGGAUUAAGUCUCCAUUAGAAUAAGUUUUAUUUGUUUAUGCUCGUUUAUUUAUUUUGAUAAAUCAACAUAAACAACAACCCAACUGUUCAUUUACAACCUUAGCUUUAAGCAAUUAAACGAUAAGUCGACUUUACAAGUAAACGAUUAGCCCUAGGCAACGAAAGGCCGAACUUCUCGGUCAUGUCGAGUUCAUUAGGCAACAUCCCACCAGGCAACUCCCAAUCAAAGCAAUGGGCUAAUUGAGCUAAAAUAAUACGCAUGUUGACUAGAGCUAACUGCAUUCCGGGACAUCCUCUACGACCGGUUCCGAACGGAAUGAGUUCAAAAUCAUGCCCUCGAAGGUCUAUCUUCCUAUCCUUGAAUCUUUCUGGAAAGAACUCUUCAGCAUUGCUCGACCAUAUCUUGGGGUUUUGCCCCAUGGACCAAGUGUUCACCAAAAGCCGCGACUUCUUAGGUAUGAAAUACCCAUUAACGGUGACAUCUUCGGUCGACUCGUGCGGGAUUAACAACGGCGCCACAGGAUGCAACCUGAAACUCUCUUUGAUGACCAUAUCCAAAUAGGCAAGUUUCGGUAGGUCCGACUCUUCUACCAUUCUAUUCCUUCCGACAACAAUUUCUAGCUCUUUCUGGAGAGCAACCAUGACUCGAGGAUGCUUUAGAAGUUCUGUAAAUGUCCACUCAAUGGUCGUGGAUGUAGUGUCGAAGGAAGCUGCCACCAUGUCCACCAUUAUAGCCUUGAUGUUUUCUCUACCAAAGAUGUAUGGUUGAUCUUCAUCGUUAGGGUUUAUGGGUGUAUCCAACAUCGAAACCAUCAGUUGAAAGAAACUUCUAUAAGGUUUUUGGUCAUCCAUGUUAAUCCCUUGUUGGUAUUCAUCUAUCAUUUUGUCAAAAAAUUCGUGAAGGCCACUGCUCGCCUUCUUAAGCCUUCUUGUAUAUCCCUGCAGCGUAAAGAUAGAUAUGAUAGAAUCAAUUUUAUAUUGGUUGUAUUCUUCAUUAUAAUUAUUCUUUGUGAAAAAAUCAACUAGUCAUUCAAUCAAAUAUUAAGACUUCCGAGUUCCACUCUGCAUCUAGUAAGAUUACCAUAACACAAUUUAUUAUGCUUUAAAAUUGGUAUUAUUAUUAGUACAAAAAAAUAAAUAAAUUAUGAAAAAGAAAAAUAGUACAUAAAAAACAGGAUAUAAGGAGAAAAAAAAAACGUUACCUGAAGAUCAAGUGGAGCAAGGAAAGGCACAUAAUCCGAGAGAUUGAAAACCCCAGAUAAGUGCAGGGCCUCAUCAACCAGCGGCUUAAAAUCGAUUUUAUCAUCCAUGGACCGCCCGAAUAACACUUUCGACAUCAUUUCUUCAAGAACCUUAGCCACCGCCAGGCUAAGGUUUAUUGUUUCACCCACCGCCGCUACCUUCCUCACUGAUUCAACCAAUAACCCCACAUCCGCCUUCCUUAUCGGGGCAAAACAUUCAACUUCGGAAGCACUGAGGAAAUGCAAAAUACACCAUUUCCGUACAGUUCACCAGUAAGAACCGUACUGGGUAAAAGCCAAGGCCUUGCCACCAUAUGUGAAGUAUUUCGCGGAUUGGACUUUAGGCCUGGAAGCAAAAACGACGUCAUGGACCUUGAGGAACAGUUCAGCGGCUUCGGGUGAUGAUACCACGAUGGUUGGUACUUUGCCUAGCAUUAUCGACAUGAUGGGUCCAUAUUUUUUGGCGAGAUAGUGAAGACUUUGGUGUGGGAGGUUCCCUAGCAUGUGGAUGUUACCUAUGAUGGGAAGAGGGGCAGGACCGGGUGGAAGUUUCCGGCCAUUUUUGUUGCGGUUUGGUGAGCUGAAGAAGUAGAUAAAGGAACAGAGAGUUCCAAGGAGGACGAAGAGUAAGGUUAAUGUUGAAGAAGACAUUUGGGAGGGAAGCCAAUCACAAUAGCUGAUAGCCAUUGGGGAUUGAUUGAUUGAGUACUUGUAGAUGGAAGCAACCGAUGGCAGCUGCAAGUCGGGAGAAUUCGCCAAAUAUGUCGAUUUUAACAAAAACUACGGAGUUCGACCCCCCCUUUUUUCUUUUUUCUUUUUUAAUGUAAGGAAAUAAGUAUAGGUAAAAGCUUUGCGGGCUUAAUUUGCCAGUUGAAUUACUUACCAUGGUAAGAAAAUAUUAUUAUAAUUUUUAUUUUAAUGAAUAUUAAUUUUAAGUUGUUAAUGUUAUUAUAUUUUUUUAUUUUUUUAUGUUUAUAUAAUCAAGAUGAAGAUUAAAUUAUUGAAAUUUAUAUACACACAAUUUAAGUGCAAGAGCACCAUGUGUUAUUGAACAAUACUUGAAAGAGGCGAGUUUCUUACACGUGUCUCAUAUGCUCAACGAGACUAAAUUGGAGUCUGCACUUAUCAGUGCUUUGCUGGAGAGAUGAAGAUCCAAAACACAUACAUUUCAUCUAUCAUGUAGUGAGUGUACGAUUACAUUUAAGGAUGUAUCAUUACAACUCGAUCUGCCAAUUGAUGAGGCAGUCAUUACAGGAGUGGUGCACAUUGGGGAUUGGAGACCAAUUUGCCACCAGUUAUUAGGCAAGGUGUCAGACAAGUUUAGUGGUAAUCAAAUAUAUAUGAAAUGGUUAGAAGAUAAUUUCUCGCAUCACAAAACUCUUCUAGUGCAGUUGAAAGACAACAAUUAACUCGGGCAUUUAUACCUUCUAAUGCCAUAUAAAUCUCAAAAUUUGGUACAUUUAAGGGAACUCCUAUAACUAUUCGACCUAAAAGAAACUAGGCAACUCAACUGGGGAUCAAUUGUCUUGGCUACAUUGUAUCGAAAUUUGUGUCGGACAAUAGAAGCACAAAAAUUAAAAUUGGUGGUUGUAUAUUCCUUCAAUCAUGGGUAUAGUAUCGCUUACCAUUUUUACAUCCCGAGAAAACUCCCAUUAUCAAUUAUUACUCGUAAUAAGGUAACAUUCAUUUAAUAAUAUAGUUAUCAUAUUAUCUUUGUCAAAACCAUUUUUUUUAACAAAAAUUAAUUGUCGACUUAAAAACGACAAUUGGAGUCCCCACCAAUUUUUUAUUAAGGUGUGAUCGUUUCACCUUGAAAACGAUUUAAGGUCUACGAAUUUUGAGAAAAUAGGUUCGGGAAUUUGUUACGCACGAGGAAGGGUUAGCACCCUCGUAACGCCCAAAAUAGGUACCGAAUUGAUUGUUUAAUGUCUUGGUGUCGAAAAUUUGAAAAGAUUUUAAAAGAAAACUUUUUAACUUGAAUGAAUUAAAAUAAUAAAACAUUCUUAUUUUAAAGAAAUUAAUCAUCACACCCAGUGAGUUAGGGCACAACAUUUUAAUUUUCAAAAUUAAGCUUGUCUUUUGAUUUAAAACUCAUGCAUUUAAAUUUCAAAAGGAUAUUCGAUUAUUUGGGUUAAAAGAAAAAAAUUGAAACCCAGUAAGUUAGGGCACGAUCACUCGAAUUUCCCAAAUACAGAAUAUUGCCUUUAUUAUUUUUAGAGAAAUCCUCAUCUCGAGAAAACAAUAUGUCAUAUCCAAUGCGUUAGGACACAACGUAUUGAUUUCCCGAUAAUGAGCUUUUAUGUUUUUUUUUAUUAAAGAGCACUCCUGAUUAUUUAGAUUCAACGAAGAAAAUUGGAACCCAAUACAUUAGGGCUCAAUCCUCUCGAAAAUCCCAAAUAUCGAAUAUUGCCUUAUUUUGAAAGCCUUUGAACAAAAAUAGUUUUAAUGCCUUGAUAAAACCAAAUAUAUUUUCUUUUUAAAAAAAUGAUAAAAUGUUAAUAUACACCAUAAAACAAAUACUUUAAUAUGAAUUAUAUAUGUAUAUGUAUUUACAAAAUAUGUACAUAUAUAUAAGUACAAUAUAUAAGUAAAUUUGAAAAUAUGUAUAUGCAUAUAUUAAAACACACACAUAUAUAUAAGUAUACAUAUAAAAAAGAAAAGGAAUGAAAUAUAUAUAUAAAAAAAUUAUAAUAAUUUCUAAAAAAUAUGUAUAUAUAUAUUAUAAAAAAUACAUGUAUAUGUGCAUGGAUUAUAAAAUAAGGAAAAUGUAUAUGUAUUAUAAAAUAUAAAUGUAUAUAUAUUACAUAUAAAGUAUAUACGUGUAUUAUAAAAAGUAUGUACGAAUGCAAUGGUUAUAAUAAUAAAUACCAUAGUAAUCAUAUUAUACAAUAAUAAGAGUAAUAAUAAAAAUAACUAAAUAAUGAACAAGGGACUGAAUCGAAACUAAACAAAAUUUUAGGGUCGAAAUUAAAAAAUAAAAAAAUGGAAAAGGACUAGAUCAUAUUGCGCAUGGAAUGAGGAGGACCAAAUAGGGAAAUAUUCCCACGCCGGUCAAAUGGCACUGUUCCAGUGGGGCGCAUGUAUAUGGUCUAUGGACCAAAUUAAAACAGAAGGAAAAAAGGUGGCCAAAAUUUAAAAAAAAACAUGAAAUAAAUGCAUUAUAGUCGAAUAAAAAAAUAGGGGACUAAUCGUGCAAAUUCCCCUUCCAUACUAAAACGAGCGGAUCUAGCGGGUCGAGUCGUCGGGUUUUGGCCUAUACGGCGUCGUUUUGGGCCCACUGAAACAGGCCUAAACGACACCGUUUUGCAGUCAUUAUAAAACCAAAAUUUCUUUAAAAAACUCAUUUUUCUUUCCCGUUUUGACACAAAAUAGCAGAGAAACCCUCUACUAGGGUUUCGUUUUCUAUGCCGCCGCCGAUCAAGGCCUUCCCACGGUCUCAGUCGCCGACCUAGUCUCCGAUCGCGACGGAGAAAGGAACAGAACGCGACAAUACCGGGUAAGUCUCUCUCCUCCCUCUUUUUUAAAAGAAAAAAAAAAGACAAAGAGGAAAAAACCUCGAAAGAAAAUCGAAAAGAACGCAAAAAAAGAAAAAGAAAAAGAAAAUAAAUGAGACGAUUAACAAAGACGCAGUUCACCUUUAUUUUUUGUUAUAACUUUCCUUUAUUUUCCUUAUCUGUUUGAGAAUCUUUCUUUUUUUUAAUGCAAAAACAAAUCGGCCUUUUUAUAGCCCGGGGAAAAAAAAUACAAUUCCUUUAAUUGACACUAUUUUCUUUUUGUUUGACUCUUUUAGUCCGUUUUUACAGGUGAUCGUGGGGGAUACGGCGCACAUGGAGGAGGCCGGUUCCGAAUCUUGCGACGGCUGGGGUCUGCUGGAGGCCGUAUGCUGUUAGGGUUUCCCGACCCUUUCUCUGCCAUUGGUUUCGGGCUUGGGUUAGUUGGGUUUUAGGUUUAGGGUUAUUGGGCUUGUAAAAAAACAGGACUGCCUAUUUUUGUUUUGUAUGGGCCCGAGCCAAUUGGGCCUGUUACAAUCUUUUUUUCAUUAUUAUAUUUUUGGAAUAACAUAUUAUUUGAACAGAUGGAAAAAUGUGGGUAUACCAAACAAGCUUGAAGAUAUUUGGUUAUUGUUAAAUCAAUGGUUAAAAGUUGAGGUCAGUUUUUGAAUUUUUUUUAAUUACAUAAUAAUUAUGUAAGGAUUUGAAAUUUAAUAUUAGGUAUGUAUGAAAUUUAGAAUUUCAUAUUAUAAUUUAGAUGGAUGUUAUACUCUGAUCCGAGAAUUGAAGAAUGCAUCCCGUCUAAAUUUUUUACGAAUCGUAAUAUCUUGCAUGUCAAAGUGUCAUUAAUAGUUUUUGCAUUGUCUAUUUUUAAUAAAUAUAUUUGAAGUAAUUUUUUUAAUAUAUUCUAUUUGAACUUUUUUAUAUUUAAAAAAAUAUAUACAUACUUUUCAUAUAUUUUUUUAAGAAUUAGGACCAAAUUAAUAGAAUAUAUAAACAUUGAUGGUUUAAUUUGUUACUAUAUCAAUCAAAAUUAUGUACAAUUGAUGGAAAAUAUUAUUUUCCGUGAUUAAUUGUCCUUAGUUGCUCACUUUGAAAAUGAACAAUGAUUAAAUAGCUUUGUUGUUUUCAGUAGGACCAAUUUGCUUAAUAUCAAAAUUGAGAGAAGCUAAAAAGGAAAUUUUACCUAAAUCUGCUCGUCUAUAUGGGAAGGCUUUCCUUCUUUUAGCUACAAUUGUAUUUAUUAAUUCAUAGAUUUGUCGGGAUAACAAAAAAAUGAUAAACAAUUAUAAUGAGACAAUGGCCAUUACUUGCACAGACCACCGGAUCAAUCACAAAUGCCGGCACCUAAAAUCAUUUAGUUAUUUUGGAUAAAUCUAACGUGAUGUAAAGUAUAUAUAUUUAUAAAAACUAUAUGAAUUUAUUUACAUUGAUAACAUAAACAAGAACCCAAAUGUUCAUUUACAACCUUAACUUUAAGCAAUUAAACGAUAAGUAGGUUUUGCUUAUUAGCCCUCGGUAUUGAAAGGCCGGACUUCUCAGUCAUGUCGAGUUUAUUAGGCAACAUUCUAUUAGGCAACUCCUAAUCAAAACAAUGGACUAAUUAAGCUAAAAUUAGACGGAUGCUGGUUAGGCCUAAUUGCAUUCCAGGGCAUGCUCUGUGACCAGUUCCGAAAUCAUGCCCUCGAAGGUCUAUCUUGCUAUCCUUGAAUCUUUCUGGAAAGAACUCUUUGACAUUGCCCGACCAUAGCUUGGGGUUUCGCCCCAUGGACCAAGUGUUCACCAAAAGCCGUGACUUCUUAGGUAUAUCCAUUAACGGUGACAUCUUCGGUCGACUCGUGCGGGACUAACAAC
rnacentral:lncRNA from 1 species